CCCUCCCCCCUUCNNNNNNNNNNNNNNNNNNNNNNNNNNNNNNNNNNNNNNNNNNNNNNNNNNCAACAAAACAUGUUGCCCAUGGUGCCCAACAAGUACGGGUUCGUACAGAACUGGCGGAAGGGAAGAUACCGCACACGCCAGUCUUCACUGGCCACCUGAGGGACGUCACGUGGCGUGGAGGGAGGGGCCGUGGAGGGAGAGCAAGACGGGGAAAUCCCAGGUGAGGACUGGGGGGGGGAGGCGGCGGCAACCUCAUAAGGCUUUCCCCGGCUAGCCAUAAAACACACAUAUAUAAAACAUUCAACAGCUCUGCAGCCAUCAGCCUUUUUUCCACGUAAAUAUGGUGUAACGUCUUACCUGCAGCUGGCGCCCCUUCUGAGUGCGAAUGCACGAAUUUGGCAAUGAAUGCAUACUUCCCAUGCGUGUCGUACACCAUACUACCGUACUUCCGUACCUGUCUUGCGCGUAAUCGUAUCCGUUUGCCGCGCGGGCCCAUGGAUUUCGUGUGGAGGAAAUGACGUAAUAGGAGUUCCACAUGGCGUCGUGGGUAAGUCCGCGCGCCUCCAUCUCCUCCUCCGAAAAUGGCUUCAUACACAUGACUUUCUGGGAUUUGCACGCGGUCUUGAAUGUGUCUAACACGGUCGUCGAGGCUGCUUUGCGGUUGCGGAUGAAGAUCAGCUUGUAGUCGUGGUUGACAAAGACGCCGCAUCUGUAGGACAUGGGCGCUGGCACCGUGACGUUCUCCCGGUAAACCACCUUGAGUAGUAGCCAGUCACGGAAGGCGCUCUGGUUAAAAAGCUUCUCGUCAUAGCGUUCCGCGGGCAGAGGACCAGACUUCUUAACCUCGCCAUAAACUUUGCUGGACACAGUGAUGAGGUCGCUGUAGUAGUCCGAUGGCGAUUGCGGCAGCUCUAUCGGAGGAAGGCCUUUCGAUGCGCUUAUAGUUGUAAGGAAUGCGCUGAUGAUGGAGAGCAGCUGCCAGAGGGAGCUGUGCUACAGCCAGGGAUGCGACCGUAUUCCAUAUUAAUACGCCAGCUAAUACGCCCGUAUUAAUACGCCGAAUACGCCAGCCAGUUGGGGCUGUUUAUGCGUUGGCGUAUUGUUGGCGUAUUGUCGGCGUAUUGUUUGUCGUUGGGUUGUCGUACAGUCUGAAAACUCGCCGAUUUUGAGAAAUAUCGAGCUAUUGACAUUCCCGAGUCAUUAGUGUCAUUAGUUGAUACUUAGGAUUAGGUAAUAGGUUCGCUUAUCAUUGGGUUUGCAACAUACCGAAAUGGAAAACGUGUGCGAAGCAAAACGCGCUAAACCGGGACCUAAUUCCCCUGGUUCGACUGGACCAAGCAGCCGCUGGAGCUCAACCCUGGCCAGAAGGCGAUGUCGUUCGCCGUGGGGGAGUGAGGAGGCUUUAGGGGGGUGUGGUCUGUCGUCUGUGGUGUUGGCCUGACACCCAAGCUUCGGCUUGUGGGACCGGCUGGUAUGUACGGAAACUGGUACAGUACGGCAGCUUGCUGUACGGGAUAAAACCUGUAACUCGGGGCGUUUCAGGUCGCGAGGGCCCCCCUCGAGGGAGAAGAUGGGCUCUGUGGCAUCUGAAACCCAGAACGUGUCACGCACGACACGACGCGUCGCUAAACACAUGGCACGUGUCCGUGCCUACCCGCCCCACCUCAUACGGCCACAUUGGUUGCCCCCACGACAGGCCUGUACGACACCGUGGAGGGCCUGUCGUACUUUGUACGGUGCGCACCCUGCGCUGGAGCUUACGAUGCUGACGUCCGCACAGCAGGGUUGCGUGUACGACGACGAGUGUUUAGAAGUACGGCCGGUCUGGAGGAACUCGCUGCUGUGGCAGGUACCCCCCUGGCUAAGUACGGCAGAUCUGGCCGCGGGAUCAGCGAGCGGUGGCGCCGCGGGGGCCCAACAGCGGUUUCGGAGCUCUGCAUGUAAUCCUGCGAACGUAACCGCAGCUCCGGAACCAUUUGGCGACGAUGGCGGCGACGGCGUGAUCGGGCCGGAGGAGGGGGCCGAUGGAGAUUCGGAUUGGAUGCUCAACGCGCGGCCACGAAAGCGGAAGAGGCCGCGGCGACGUCAGGGGGGUGGAGCUCGCUUAGGCGAGGCACUAGGCAUGGCUGGGGCUGGGGCCCCGCAACAAAGAAUCGCAGCCGAGGACGGGGCUGAGGAGAGGCCGCUGCCGCCGCGGCGGCGGCGGCGGCGGCUGUACGACAGCAGCGGCGGAGGUGCCGACGUCGCUGUCACGAAGAAUCCGGGGCAGCUCAAUAGCAGCAGCAGUAGUGAGGAUGAGGGCGAGGGCGGGGGAAAGGUGGGGGCAAUGUCGUGCCUAGGCACACUGCCAUCUUUGCAUGCGCUCCGUGCCUCAAUCCAGAGGGCUUCGGCGGCGGCGGCGGCCCUUCGUGCGGCGUACGACACUGUAUCCGGAGGGAAAGAAGCGCCGCCAUCGGUGUCGGAGGUGUCGUGGGAUUUAGGAUCCUGCAGUACGGCAAAUACUACCGCCUGCGACGGCGGGGAGGAGGCGGAAGAGGGCCCGAAAAGAAUGAGCGGCAGUAGCGGUGGCGAUGGCAGCAGCAGUAGCAGCAAGGGUGGGGUCCCUGAGAGUGGUGGAGAUAGCAGCAGCGAUGCGAGUGACGGCGGAGGUACGCGGAGCGACACGGAGGGCAAUGGCGAUAGCAAUGAGGGUGUGGCGGCGGCGGCGGCGGCGCUGGAUCGCCGCCGCGGCCGCGGCCGUCCCGGGAGAAACGGCACAGUCUCCGCAGCUACUGCUACUGCAGCUGUUGCCGCAGCGGCGGCGGGAGCUGGUGGCGGGAGGCCGCACGGCAGUAGCAAGAUACGGGGUGACCACCUGGAUCUGUUUUCUGAAUUGGAUCGUUUGUUCAUGGCCAGCGGCCCAGCGGAGCGUCGUCCAGCGGGGGUGUACGGAGUCGUACGACAGGGUCGCGCGGCAUCAGGCGGAGGCGCUGCCGCCGCCAGGCGCAGCGGUCGUGUGCUGGCUGCAGCUGUCGGCGGCGGCGGUGGUGGCGGCGCGGCGGCGGCGCCGCUGCCGCCACCACCAGGACCUGCGGCAACUUUGACCUCGAAGGUGGCGCUGCGGUCGCAGGUUCUUGAGCGCCUUAGAUCCGCGGUCACCGGUCAUCACCUGGAAACCAGAGCUACGCUGCCGCCGCAAGGUGUACGGCGCACGGCGGCAGCAGCGGCGGCGGCGGCGGCAACCCCUAGCAGCACCGUCGCCGCCAGGCGGGUGACGCUGCCAGGGCUGCAGCAGCCGCCGCCGUCGUCAACGCGACAACCGCCGCCGCCGCUGCCACAACCGCCACCACAGCCAAGCAAGGCCACCCGGCCGCCAGACGACAACCCGCUUGCCUACCUCCUCUACCUGAAACACACCCGUCAGGCGGUGCUGGUAGUUGCCGCCGGCGACUUGGGUGCCGUACGGUCGCUGGCGGCUCACCCCGUGUCGAAGCUGCUGCGCCGAGCGCCGUCGGGGUUACUGCUCGCGGUAACGCACGUGGCGGCGGCGGAGGUGACGUGGCAGCGGCGGUACCGCCAGCUGGCGGAGCGGCAGCUGCCCGGGCCGCACGUGUGGCUCAAGCCUGCCGCCACCGCGGCGACGACGGCGGCGGCGGCGGCUGUGCCGCCGCCGCCGCUGGCAGGACUUGGCCAUUUGGGUUCCGCUAGGGUGACGAUGCGGCUCAACGCGGUGGCACCGGCCAUCUUUCCGUUGCCGUACGAGCUGCGUGUACGGCAAUGUGCGGCGGCGGCGCGACGUGGCGUGGCGAGUGAGGACGUUGGGGAACGUGGGGUGGACGCUGUGGACCGGCAGCUGGAGGACAACAUUGCUGCUGCCGCCACCGCCACGGCGGCGGCAAGGGAACCGGCGGCGUUGCGCGAGGUGUUGUCAAAUGCGGGCGACAAGCCUACAGAGCCCAGUCCCCAGCCGUUACACGGCCAGCGGCAACAGCCACCGCCGCCGCCACCAGCGCUGGCGGAGCCGGAAGAUCGGCCUCAGCUGCAGCUCGUUGCGGAGCGUGAUGAGCCGCGGGAGGGCACUGAACCAGCAGCUACAGCCACAACGGUGGUUGGUAACGGGCACGUGGCGGUGACGGCGGCGGCGGCGGCCGUACAUCGACCGAUGGGUCGCAAGGCCAAUGGCGACCGCCAUAGGGCUGCUGGGAUCAUCACGCAACGCCGCAACACGGUCAAAAGCCGUGUCGCGUCGCUGCUAGAUACGCUGACGGCGACGUGCGUUGUCGUACAACAUGGCGGCGGCUGUAGCGGCGGCGGCGGUGGCGUUGGCGGCACCGGAGGAAAAUCCCGGGGCUUCUCAACUUCCAACACAGAUGAUGACAGCAGUAGCAGUAGCAGUAGCGGUAGCGGCGGAGAGCAAGAGAGGCAGCAGCAGAUCCAGAAGGAGGAAAAGAAGCACGAGUGUCAGCGGCUGGUAGCGGCAGCGGUCCUGGUACAUUGGUGGGAUGACGGCCCGGGCGAUGGCGGCGGUGGCGGCGGCAGGCUGGGAAACGACGCAGCGGCGGCGGCGGACUUGGUUCCGGAGCAGAUGCUUCCGCCGGUGGCGGAGGUGCAGCGGAGGCUGUUGUUGGAGAGAAGAGAUACCGGGUUGUUGCAGAUGUUGCAGGUGGGCGCCUGUGUGUGGGUAUGUAUGUAUGUAUGUAUGUAUGUGAGAUUGUUGGAUGCGGGGAUUGUAUGUGAGGAGCAGCAGCAGCAUGAGGAGGAGGAGGAGGGUGAGGCGGAGGAGGCCCAGUGCCCAUGCUGUGUCCGCGUUGGUGUUGGCUGUAACGAGGUCGUUAAGGGGGCCGCAGGGUUUUCCGUUGGGUUGGUUGGUCGGUUGGUUGGUUAGGCGGGUUUUCGCUCUCUUCUCCACUUAGACACCAUCCUAAUGCUCACUUACCUUCGCCUCCCUUCCGCUCCCGCUCCGAAACCAACAAACGUCCCGGGCGGACCAACCGCUUCGCCAUGGGCGCGUGGCUCAACAUGCCGUACGUACACGUGCGUUUUUGUGUGCUCCAUUCGACGUACAAGGCCCUCCGUCGUACAUUCCCGCACCUGACACGCACGGCAAUGGCUCAGCGAUUCCUCCUCAACCAGCAGCCGCCCCGGCAGGGGGCGAGGGGUCCACAAGUCUCAAGCAGGGACAUAUCCCCGGAGGAUAUCACCCACCGGCGGAUGGACCAGUCACCAUCAGCAGCCUUCCAGCAGCAACAGCAGGUCUCGCAACAUCAUCAGCCGCAACACCAGCUGCAGCAGCAGCAACAGCAAACACAUUUGCAGAUGGAGCGGCACCAACAACAUCAUAAUUACCAACAACAUCAUAAUUACCAACCCGCCGGCCACUGGGCGAACGGCGGCGGAGGGGGACGUACGGCGGGUGGCAGCAGCAGCGGCGGCGGCGGCUUGACGGCAGAGGAGGAGCUAGCGGCAGCCGCGGCGGCGUACGGCACGCCGGAGCAUACCGGCGGCGUCAUGCGGCCGUCAUACUCUUACGCAUUGUACCCGGAGAAUGAGCUCCGUGCCCUCCCGCCGGCCACACCCCCUGUCUUUGGCUGGCAGUGCGGCAGCAACGUCGGCGGCGGUGGCGCCGGCGGCGGCGACGCUGUACUGCAUUCUCUGCGUCGAAAUAGCGACGUGUACGGCAACCGACUGCACUCGCCGUGGCCAGCAGCUUCGCAUGGCCCUCAUGGCGCGUGGACCGGCCAACCAAUACCGUUGCCGUGCUUAAAAUCGCGUUAGGUCGCGUUAAACUCGCGUUAAAUCCUCGUAACGCGAAUUUAACGCGACGUAACGCGAUCACCCGUUGUCAUAGUGGUAGUACGGCACGCACUAAUAAUACAUAUACACGCUAAAGCGCAAUUCCAGCAUCUAUAGAGGCCUUUCCAGCGGCCAGCUACUACAACAUGCCACGUGGCAUGCGCGAAGCUGACAGACGUUUGUAGCGGACCUAACAGGCUGGGGCCUUGGGCCCCAUCGACAGUAUCCUACUACGGCAGGAGUGCUAGAGAUUCGUCCGGCAGGUAGGCCGAGAUAUGAGCUUCUUCACCCAGGCAGGAUGCUCUAGCCAGACACUUAAGUAUUACGACUACUUGGUGUUCGGAGGUCAAGACUCUGCUGCCGCCGGUCUAGUUAUACUGUACCUGUUCUGUAUUCUAGUGUCUGCUGCUGGGCUGGACUUCUUCCCGUCUCUUCGAAGGCGAUCUGCUCUACACUUCCGCAAGGCCAGUCGUCUGUAAAGGUGAGUGACUGCUACACCUUGCCUUCCACUGCCGUGCCGCCCGGUGCACAUGCUGCCACUGCCGCCAGCUGCGUAACUCAUUGUUAUUCUCCCAUCACUACACUUGCCCUUGGGAUGUCCUGGUUGGACGUCUGCAUUGGCUUUCUGUCUAUGUCGACCGCGGCCGUGUGUGAACUGUGUGGGAGCCUCUCCCAGUUCCAUCCGUCACCAGCCGAAAUGCUGUACCCCGCGAGUUGCGGUCAAAGCUGACCCUAAGUGUGCCUCCCCGCAGCCACCACCUCCAUUCGAGUGCACCUUUACCGGUUCGGUGAGCUGUCUCGGCAGGCUCUCUCCUGGAUUCUGCCGCCACUCAAUUGUGGACUUGCUGGGCUAUCGUGCAGCUGUAAUGGUGCUCAACUUGCACCCUCGCUGCCUGGGCCUCCACCAUGCUGCCUUCAGGCUGCACCACCUUCACAUGCCUGAGCCUUCUUCAGUUAGACAGGCCUCCUCUGCGAGCUGCCUUCAUCCACCGUCACUGCUACUCCAGUGCUGUCUUUCACAGGUGGAAGUUGCGACCUCACGAUCGUGGCCUUUACACUGCUAAUCACAUACCCGUGAGCCAGUGUUUUUUUCCGUUUUGGGCCUAGUACCCUAGAGUAAUAAACUGGGUGUUUCUUGCGGUUACUAUUCCUAUUUUAGUCGCUGGGGGGGGCUGCAUGCCCCCCAGACCCCCCCCCUCAAAGGCCUUACGGUGUGCUGUAAGCAACACCUGACGUCUGGAAACACACAUGCCGUACCACCAUCGUUCUGUGCACCUAACUGCAUUUGCGCCAGUGUCUCUGUGCAGGGCGUGGAGCCACUUUGACUGUCCAUAAACGUCAUGAGCACGCGAAGGCAAAGUUAUAUAUAUGUACACUGUCUUCCAGGCUCAGACCCCCACAGUCNNNNNNNNNNNNNNNNNNNNNNNNNNNNNNNNNNNNNNNNNNNNNNNNNNUAGCGCGGGAAGCAUCGUUCGCCAAUAUUAAUUAAAGGCCUCUAACGCUGCAGGAAAAUUUUAGUAGAAGAUUUAGAACUAUGUAUGUAUUUAGUUUUAGCGUUUGUUCCCGCUUUGAGGGCGUGAAAUGCCGUGUCAUUGUCCCUAAUCAGUCAUUGUCCCGGCAUUUCAAUUGUCGCCCAUAAGCAUGAACCAGGCCACCAACUCACAAGCUUACAUGCAACGACUAAAACCAGGCAAUACUAGCUACGCAAGCUAUGCUAGGACAAACUUUUGAGACGACCAGAGCAAAUUGACUUAGAUUGUUUGCCCUGGCAAACUUAUGUACUCCAAACUCAUCCACUGGACGAUGCUGGCUGUAUUUCUUGCGUGGGCGAUCUUGUCGCCGACGGGCGAUGUUGUCCAGGGCGUUCCGGUCAAACUCGUAGGCGCCGACCUCAUUACCGUUGUCCAUGGACAUUGUGUUGGAAGGAUACGUUAAGGUUCAGAUAAAAUGAAGAAAUGAAGAAGCGCUCCUUCAUAGUAUGGAGAUGGUAGAAUCUUCAAGCAACUUUUGAACGACCAGGGAGAGUUGCUGAUAGGCGAAUUUGUAUGAAGCUAUAGAAUUCCUUUAUUCUUUCAAAGUAAAUGAAUGCUUAUGUAUUCGUCCGUUAGUAGCGUGAAGCUUUGAACACUCUUUGUACGGCAGAUUCGGCACAAUGUUUUGCCUCAUUGCGAUGUUGCCUGAAAAUUUUGAACAGAAGGGAUCACUGCUCAUGCUGGUGCAGCAAGACAUGUAAGGAGAUGGCCUGGUCACAAUCCAGCAGUCAUAUAUCGACAAUCUCAAGCUAUGACAACUUGUUACAUGUGUCUGUAAUAAAAAAGGGACUUUGCGAUGGUGUGGGGAGCUCUUUGAGUGGUGGGACUGUGGAAAUCCAGUUUGUUUCGCCCGUAACAAGUUUGUUACGGGCGAAACAACGUCCCUCUGAAACGUUUGGAUAUGCCUAUGCAACACAUUUCUUCAAUUUCAUGAACUGCAAGUAUUCUAAUCCAACAUCACCCCAAUCUCAGUGUAAACUAGUCUCCAAAUGUGCCUGCACAAGACUGUCACCCCUGUCACCCGGCAUUCACAUUGCCUUAACCUCCUCAAGCUUGUCGGGGUGUGACACGUGGGCAUGAACCUUGUGACAAUGGGCAUUGUCACAAAGAAACUGGUACAAUCAGAAAUGCAUUUUUGCUCAUGCCAGGUUACCGACAUCGGUUACCGAUUACUGGGGACGGUUAACGGAUAACGGUUCGCCCGGUAAUCCUACCGACCGGUUACCCAUCUCGUUAACUGGACCCGUUAGGUCGGAACCGGGCCGGAACCGGCCUGGAGUAUGCCAUUGGGCUGGCAUCGUUUUGAUGUUAUGCCUUCCUUGCUGUACUUCACUGGUCGCCACUAUUCACUGGCCGGUACCAACCGCACCAUUGCCGCCGUCAUCCAGAUGCAGCAGUCUUAAGGUGCGAGCUGCCUGCUGCAGCUGCCAGAACAGCCUCCGAGCCGCAUGUAGCGGACUGCAGCAGCGGCUUUCUCCUCGAUGUGCCGCCAUUGGCGGCCGUUCUAUACAUGCAGCUGCAGUUCAGUGGCUUCCUAAGCGAUCGGCCUCCUACAGUCGCUAAACACGCAUUUGUGGCCGACCGCCGCAGCGGCUUUUGUCCUAAGUUCCCCGCCAUUGGCGGCCGCUAGCUGCAUGCAGCUGAGCAGCCUUCAGUUCGGCAUGCCGCCUCGACAAGCGGGCAUCCCACGCGAGCGGCCUCCUGCAGUCACUAAACAUGUAUUCGUGCCGCACUUAGCAGACCGCCACGGGGUUGUUUGGUCUUGGACUGUAGCUGGACGGCGAGACAGCAGACGUAUGUGUCGCCCAAUCGUUCGGGGCUUUUAAUGUGGUGCCGAUAGGUAAUACAGUUUCACAGGAAAGCAUGUAGUCACAUGCAAUUUGGAUUGCGUAUUGUAUGAUAAACCUGGAUAAACAAGUGCUUCUUUGCUACAUUCUGUACCUCCGGUUAUGCUUGAGGAUGUGUUAACCAUGGUACAUACCAAAGCUCAAUGCAUAUAUCUUCAUCGCCUUGUGUGCGGUUCAUGUGUGUUCUGCCCAUAAUCGGGUGCACACUGAAAAUACAUGCAUGCGCAUGUGGAUUAACUUGCUAAUUGUGUGUGCUUGUUGUUUAAGCCUUUCGCACUGAUCAAUUGUUAAAGUCAACCAAAUAAGCGCAAAUCUAGUCUCAAUAAACCCUCUUAAGUAUAAAUACUCAUUCCGUAAUUAAUGUUCCUGAAUGUUCUGUCAAAAGGGCCCAUUUUCAGCUUUGCCACAGCCAUCGUGCAUUAGCUCUGCGUUACGAAACGCAAGCAUAUACGCAUCUAACGUUAUGAAACGGGACGCAACACAAGAUAACACGACCUAACGCUAGUCACCCUUUGCCCUAGUGACCACAUGUAUUUGGGCAGAGGGGCCACGGACGGCGUCCAGAGGCGUGUGCUGCUGCUCCUGACGCGUGUUGCCGUCCUCUUCCUUGAACACGUACAACCAUUUGGGGGCGGACCUGUUGAAAGCGUGCAGCAGGCAGCAGCUGUGCUGUAGUGUACAGUCGAUUGAUUGCUUGAGGGUGUGUCGGCGGCAGGAGGACCGCAAGCAAAAGGCACGUGUGCAUGUCUUGGCAUGCUUCAGCAAAAGCGGAUUUCGUGAACAUCCUGUCAUGAUGACCGUCAUGAAGUUGCAAUCGUGGAUGGCCAAGGGACUAUUCGCCAUGUUGCCAUACAAGAUUUUUGCCACAAGCGGCUGUAGUUGCUGUCGUACAAUGCGGCACACAUGGUGCUGAAGCACUUUGCCAGCACCUCGAGCUUAAACGAGAGCCGCUUUUCCAGCGGCCAGCUAAUAUAUACACUUGAGCCCUGCCUGGCACCCGCAAGCUGAACUCAACUAUGACCCUCUCCUGUAACAGCCGUCUCUUACCUUAGCUGUUUUAGCGGAAGCAGAGGGUCUCGUCCACGAUUGGCGACCCAGCGUUAGGCGUGAGAAGAGACAAGGGAAGUCGGGAUUCGAAGACAUACGUCGAGAACGGUGACAGCAAGGUCUUGAACCCUGAACACUAGUAUAGUGAUACGUUAAGUGUCUGGCCGAAGCACUUCACCUGGGUGGCUUAAAUGCGGCCCACCUGCCGCCAUCUCCAUUCCUGGAGUCUUGGUGUCGUACGCUAGGUUGUGAUAGCGUACCAGAAAGUGAGUUUGUACAGUUAACGAGUAUGGUUCGUAAAUACGGGACCGUACCGUUACUGUGAUUAAGCUUUAAUAGCUUAAAGAUAUUCUAAGGUAAAUGUAGCUUGCUACAUCCCUCCCCCUCAGAAGCGAACCGUCCCGGGAGCGUCACCUUUUCUUGCGAGCAGGUGCUUUCCGUUUCGGUUGUUCUGGGGUGCUGUUCCGGGUGCUACCGAAGGAGGGGUGGUCAGGACCACUUUNNNNNNNNNNNNNNNNNNNNNNNNNNNNNNNNNNNNNNNNNNNNNNNNNNNNNNNNNNNNNNNNNNNGUCAAGUAGUGCCUCAACCAUGUAAUAUGGCUCUUCGUCAAUUAUGAACGGGGGCGGCGGUUGUCGUGUUCCAUCGUCCUUGAAUGGUNUGAGCAAGGAUACGUGGAAGACCGGAUGGAGUCGGGAAGUCGCGGGUAAUCCCAAUUUUACCGCGUUCUCUCCCACUCGGGCGACAACCUUAUAUGGCCCAAUAAACUUAGGCAAUAAUUUCUUUGCUCCAGGAGAUUUCAACUGGAUGUUGCGGGUGCUGAGCAGCACGGAGUUCCCAACCUCAAAACGCACCGCACGCCGAUGCUUGUCGACGACAAUGCACUGGCGGGAUUGAGCAGCUUUAAGACACUGUUUUGCGUUUUCAAUACGUUUGCGCAUGACCUUGGGAUAGCGGUCAGCGGCAGGCACUUUGGUUUUUAGGUGCAAGUCAACCGGCACACGUGGCUGCUUGAUACCAUUAAGGCUAAACGGGGUGGCACCCGUUGAGCUCUGCCUCGAGUUAUUAAUAGCAAACUCGAUGAGUGGCAGGUGUUCGUCCCAAUCAUCCUGAGUGGGCGAAAUAUAGUGCCUCAGUGUCUCUUCUAGCAAGCGAUUCAUUCGCUCGGUUUGACCAUCAGUCUGCGGAUGGUAGGCUGUGCUCAUAUAGAGGUGGGUGCCUAGCAGGCGAAAUGUUUCCUUCCAAAAGUUGCUUGUGAAGCGUGUGUCCCGGUCAGACACAAUAUUCUGUGGAAGGCCGUGCUGUUUGAAAACCGUAGCCACAAAGAGGCGGGCUAGAUCUUCCGCACCGACGGAUGUGGUUGUGGGAGCGAAGUGCGUCAUCUUGCUCAGGCGGUCCACGAACACUACUAUCGCGUCAUGCCCAUUGCGGGUUGUGGGUAGCUGUGUGACCAAAUCCAUUGACACACUAUCCCAAACGUUAUCUGGAAUGNGAAGGGGCUGCAGCAGUGCGCCUGGCUUUUGAUUUGAAGCCUUAUUGCGCUGACAAGAAGGGCAGGUACUAACGUAGGCCUUCAUGUUAGUAUCCAACCCGGACCACCAAAAAUGUUUCGCGAUCGCNNNNNNNNNNNNNNNNNNNNNNNNNNNNNNNNNNNNNNNNNNNNNNNNNNNNNNNNNNNNNNNNNNNNNNNNNNNNNNNNNNNNNNNNNNNNNNNNNNNNNNNNNNNNNNNNNNNNNNNNNNNNNNNNNNNNNNNNNNNNNNNNNNNNNNNNNNNNNNNNNNNNNNNNNNNNNNNNNNNNNNNNNNNNNNNNNNNNNNNNNNNNNNNNNNNNNNNNNNNNNNNNNNNNNNNNNNNNNNNNNNNNNNNNNNNNNNNNNNNNNNNNNNNNNNNNNNNNNNNNNNNNNNNNNNNNNNNNNNNNNNNNNNNNNNNNNNNNNNNNNNNNNNNNNNNNNNNNNNNNNNNNNNNNNNNNNNNNNNNNNNNNNNNNNNNNNNNNNNNNNNNNNNNNNNNNNNNNNNNNNNNNNNNNNNNNNNNNNNNNNNNNNNNNNNNNNNNNNNNNNNNNNNNNNNNNNNNNNNNNNNNNNNNNNNNNNNNNNNNNNNNNNNNNNNNNNNNNNNNNNNNNNNNNNNNNNNNNNNNNNNNNNNNNNNNNNNNNNNNNNNNNNNNNNNNNNNNNNNNNNNNNNNNNNNNNNNNNNNNNNNNNNNNNNNNNNNNNNNNNNNNNNNNNNNNNNNNNNNNNNNNNNNNNNNNNNNNNNNNNNNNNNNNNNNNNNNNNNNNNNNNNNNNNNNNNNNNNNNNNNNNNNNNNNNNNNNNNNNNNNNNNNNNNNNNNNNNNNNNNNNNNNNNNNNNNNNNNNNNNNNNNNNNNNNNNNNNNNNNNNNNNNNNNNNNNNNNNNNNNNNNNNNNNNNNNNNNNNNNNNNNNNNNNNNNNNNNNNNNNNNNNNNNNNNNNNNNNNNNNNNNNNNNNNNNNNNNNNNNNNNNNNNNNNNNNNNNNNNNNNNNNNNNNNNNNNNNNNNNNNNNNNNNNNNNNNNNNNNNNNNNNNNNNNNNNNNNNNNNNNNNNNNNNNNNNNNNNNNNNNNNNNNNNNNNNNNNNNNNNNNNNNNNNNNNNNNNNNNNNNNNNNNNNNNNNNNNNNNNNNNNNNNNNNNNNNNNNNNNNNNNNNNNNNNNNNNNNNNNNNNNNNNNNNNNNNNNNNNNNNNNNNNNNNNNNNNNNNNNNNNNNNNNNNNNNNNNNNNNNNNNNNNNNNNNNNNNNNNNNNNNNNNNNNNUGCCCUUGCAGUCAGCACCGGAAUCGAUAAGUGCGCUGCAAGGCGUUUGGCAUAAGAAUGCGCCAAAAAUCAUGGACUGUGAGGAGCCAAUACUGUUCAGCUGAACCUCUUUAGCUGGCGGGUCAUACCAAAGCUGGAUAGGCCACGGGAUACCGGGCAUUUCCUGACGACUACCAUCGUCUGCUUUCUCUAAGAACAGUUUCGUCCCUACGGCAUAUGUUUUUAGCAGCUGGUGUCCUGCCGCUCGCAUGCGUCUUUCAAUUUGAGACCAUUUCGGUACUACAAAAACCGCUGAAGUGGUUUCGGGACGCAUACGCCUGCAGCGCAGGUAAUGCUUAUGCCAAAGCUCAAUUUUUGUGUAUGGGGGAUUUGCCCAGACAAACUCGCCAGAGACAUCGGAGGUCAAGAACGAAUUUGAAGGGGAGGCAAAGCGUGUACAAUUAGCGUGUCGCCAGAGUUGUUACAAGCAGCGUCAAAGGUGAACUGCCGUCCCAACAUGUUCUCCACGUUACGAAACUCGUCCGGGAGGAACAUGUGAUCACAGCUAAGCGGAUCACAAACGGGCAACAAGGACUCUCUGAUUUGCAAGCUAGCCGAGUCCUUAGGACAUUCCGGUUGCUCACAGCCCCCAACAACACGCUUGCCGACCCGCUAAUCAGCCAUGGCAUUCUCCAUCUUCGCGGCAAGGGACAGCGUCUUCUCGGCGUUAGCCUUGAGGUGUCGAAUGCAGUCGGGCUUGUGCUCCGCCCAGCUCUGGUGGGCGGGCUUCACGCGACGGCAUUUGCGGCAAGUGUGUGCCGCCAGCUGUUCUUGCUCCAGACGCGCCUUCUUGGGCCGAUUGGCGGGUUGCCAACCCUGCGAAUUGCGAUCAGAGGACGAACGCUUAAAUUUAUUGAAGGGCUUUUUAGCAGUGAUCGCAUUAAGGUCAGCGCUAACUGCAUGGACGGUAGGCUUGUCUUUGCCCGACUGCCAUCGAACCUCUUGCCCAACAGCGUAAAGGAUUAGCUUAUCUAAGCUGUCCCAAUCUUUGCCCUCUUCGCUUGUCGCACACCGGCUGCGCAAAGGUGGUAGUAACCCCUUAACGUACCAGCCGAUUUGAUCGCUAGGGUUCAUAUCUUUCGCUUCACGAAUUAUAUCGNNNNNNNNNNNNNNNNNNNNNNNNNNNNNNNNNNNNNNNNNNNNNNNNNNNNNNNUUUUGGGGGAGCGGAACGCGUUUCUGCGUACUCACCUCGGUACGCGGCGUUUUGCCCGUGGGCUGUAGCGCAGGCCGCGCGGAGUCGGAGUCCGUAGCGCUACCGCCAGGGCCGCUCUCCACCGCACCGGUGUCCCAAAGUUUCCGGACCUCCUCCAAGGUGACCUCCGGCUCUAUCGUCAGGGAGUCCAGGGCCGCCUGGAAAGCGGUAACCUGAAGACUCUCUUUGGACAAAAUGCCAGCCAAGGAAGACGCAGCCACUUGCUUGAUAAUCUUGCAAAUGGCCACGGACCGUGGAUUGGGAGGUGGUGGGCUUGAGGGCGUUGACAGCUUGGAGAGUAACUCCUGGAGUUGCGUCUCCACACGCUGUGAAGAAUUGCGUAACGAUAUAAUGUCGUCACGCAGUUCUGCCAUCUCCUGGUGCGUUCCUUCCAGGGAACGCUCCAAGGCGCCGACGCGGUUCGGCACUGACUGUCGUAAAGUUUCAACCAAAUGCGCUGGCAAAGUGCCAGGCGCUUUGGCUUUGGGAACUUCCGUCGUCGCGUCAACCGCAUCAUUGCCAGUAGUGUCGAGGGCAGUCGCCACGUUAUCAGUUGGCGUCAUCGUGUCCUGAAUGUCAUUAUCAACAGGGACAGAGGAAAGGUAUUUACGAAGCGAAGCGAAGGAUUGUUUCCUUAAUUUGCGCUUUUUAAUUUUCGCAACACGAAGUGGGUCCGAAGCGGUUGUAGCAUCGGCAGGAAUUUGCGCCGUAGUCUUAGACUUCGGUCGCGGAAUAGGAACGUGCUUAGCAUCGCUCAAAGUGACAGCCUUAGUCUUAGCUAUAGGCUUAGGAACCAUUUCCAGAAAGUCGAGUCUAAGACUCAGACAAUGGGCGAGUAACUGCUGCGGCGCAAUGUGAGGCGAGGACCGAACAAAUGAUCGUCGAUACCAAAAUGUAACAGCCGUCUCUUACCUUAGCUGUUUUAGCGGAAGCAGAGGGUCUCGUCCACGAUUGGCGACCCAGCGUUAGGCGUGAGAAGAGACAAGGGAAGUCGGGAUUCGAAGACAUACGUCGAGAACGGUGACAGCAAGGUCUUGAACCCUGAACACUAGUAUAGUGAUACGUUAAGUGUCUGGCCGAAGCACUUCACCUGGGUGGCUUAAAUGCGGCCCACCUGCCGCCAUCUCCAUUCCUGGAGUCUUGGUGUCGUACGCUAGGUUGUGAUAGCGUACCAGAAAGUGAGUUCGUACAGUUAACGAGUAUGGUUCGUAAAUACGGGACCGUACCGUUACUGUGAUUAAGCUUUAAUAGCUUAAAGAUAUUCUAAGGUAAAUGUAGCUUGCUACAUAUUUCCGCGAGAUAUUUUUCUCUUGCUCUAUGGCUUAUUUCCUCUAGCGUCAAAUUCCGCCCGGCUGUGUUCGUUCCGAAGCAGACUGAAGCGACAAACGCUCGUUGAAGCGGAUCUCGACUGAGGAAGAACUCGCAUCACAGAGGUCUACGUAUCUAAUUGCACACUGGCUGCUAUUGCAAAUCGCGCGUCCUAAGGGGGGAAGGACUGUUAUGUUCGAAGGACGGCCACAGCAACAAAUUAUAAUGCUGUGGUUAGAAUGGCAGAACGUACAAGGGUGUUCUGUCAAAAUGUCCAUGGCUGGGAACGUGCACCAUUGGUUCAGGUUCAUAGCGCAGGAGUUCAGCUGCACAUUCCGGCGCCAACACUCCACGUUGGGUGCGCCAAAGCGCUACGAUAAACAACCUGAUAACAUUACAUCAAGCCAGACAGUCCAAUUGGAAUGCUUUUGAGUCGACUUGGACUUCUGCGCAAGAAUUGCUCCUAUGCACUAUAAUGUGCAGAGUUACGUGGAGUUGUGCCACAACAAAACAAUAAAGACUGCAAACUUUCUCAGAGUUGUGCAUACUGGCUUGGGAAUGCGGUGCGGCAUGAUGCGGCCAGCAUCUUCGCGCCUUGCAGCUUCAGCUCAGUUUGCAUGAAUAUAACCAAUAAAACAUCACAGUACUAUAGAAGCAGUUUGUAUGAGGAAGUAACAUGAAAGCUUAACAACUAACUCCAGGGUGGGCCUCACUUUGAGCCAGGACCCCCAAAGCGGCUUGCUGUUGAUAACGUUUUGUUGGCUUAGAUGCGACGGAGCGAAGCGACCGGAUCUUCUAAGGCUGGUUCUGUGGUGCUGUCGUACAACUGGGUCGCUGUGGCGACUUCAUUCUUGCUGCUCUCCUGGUGAAAUCAUUAUGCCUUCACGCAGAAGAGUAAACAGCCUUGUCCAACUAGUCAGCGUGACAGGCUGUACUUGGACCCCCAAACCGGCUUGCUGUUGAUAACGUCUUGCAUGUUGAUACGCCUCCUGCGGACUUGUCCCCCAGUAGGGUCUGCAGAUUGCAUACAGAUUACCUUCGUGUAACGACGCAAAUGCCAAUCUGAGCAUCCCGGGUUACGCCUUUGCUGUGUUACAAUGGUAUCGAGACGGGACCGCACGACUUCCGUAACAAACUUCGGGUCGGCGGUUCGAUUCUGGCAACCAGCAAGUCGCAAAUUGGCGAUUUCAUGGAGUAAUGGAUAAACCAGCGCACUGGCGCGAGGUGGGAUGGCUCCUGUGCUCGAAAUAAUGGCCGAGGACGUCCAUUGCUAAGUGGGGGGCAAUGUAACGACGCAAAUGCCAAUCUGAGCAUCCCGGGUUACGCCUUUGCUGUGUUACACUUCGGGUCUUAUUCAAAGUGUCCCAAACUUCGUCUUGGAAGACGCCCAUCUCCUUAAGCGCAAGCUAGUAAUAGCCCGACGACCGUUUGUUAUCUCUUCCAGAAUGGCAUCCGAUGGUGCCCUGGGUGUGGAUGUGCAUGGGCCGGACAAGGUAAGAACGGGGUUGGACUGCGUCUGACUGGCUGAAGAACUGGCACCAAUGGUGCACGUUUCUCACAUUUACACCAAGUCGCGUUCCAUGCCUGUUCUAUUCCCAAUGGUGUUAACCUUCUGCAGAAGCGUCAAAAGCUGGCAAAAUUGACGGGGUUGGGCUUCGCCAGGGACAUGGCCGAAGUCAUCGUGGAAACGCUUGGGAUGGACCCCAUCGGGCAGUCGGCCGAUGCCGGAGCAGGACUUCCUUGUGUUUGAGUUUGGUUAGCUAUGGGACGCGACUUACAAGCAGAACUUCCUUGUGUUUGAGUUUGGUUUGCUAUGGGACGCGACUUGCAAAGCAGGACUUCCUUAUGUUUGAGUUUGGUUAGCUAUGGGACGCGACUUAUAAGCAGGACUUCCUUGUGUUUGAGUUUGGUUAGCUAUGGGAAGCGACUUGCAAGCAGGACUUCCUUGUGUUUGAGUUUGGUUAGCUAUGGGACGCGACUUGCAAGCAGAACUUCCUUGUGUUUGAGUUUGGUUUGCUAUGGGACGCGACUUGCAAGCAGGACUUCCUUAUGUUUGAGUUUGGUUAGCUAUGGGACGCGACUUGCAAGCAGGACUUCCUUGUGUUUGAGUUUGGUUAGCUAUGGGACGCGACUUAUAAUCAGAACUUCCUUGUGUUUGAGUUUGGUUUGCUAUGGGACGCGACUUGCAAGCAGGACUUCCUUGUGUUUGAGUUUGGUUUGCUAUGGGACGCGACUUGCAAGCAGAACUUCCUUGUGUUUGAGUUUGGUUAGCUAUGGGAAGCGACUUGCAAGCAGGACUUCCUUGUGUUUGAGUUUGGUUUGCUAUGGGACGCGACUUGCAAGCAGAACCUCCUUGUGUUUGUUUGAGUUUCCAUGUAAGCAACUAUCGACAACAAUCCAUCCUUGGCCUGUUUUGCAGUCCUGUCAGUAUUCCAAGUUCUGCACCUGCAGCCUCAUUUUACAGCAGAACACCCAAUUCUAAUCCUCCAACUGUGUUCCCAAUCCUAUGGCAGCGACCUCAUCCUAAACUUGCGAAAGCCUGCAAUCCCUGUCCUGUCGACCAGGGUCCCAUCCCCAUCCCUGGCCAGGGCUCCCAAUCCCCUCCUUGGUCAAGGUUGCAUUCCCCAUCCCUCAGACAGGGAUCCCAUCCCCAUCCUCACCCCCGACAGCAAUCCCCAUCCCAAAAGUAGUGUAGCACGCCUAAUCCCUAAUCCUCGCCCUGGGCCCCACAUCCCAUCCUGACGUUGUCAACCCUAUUCCCCAUCCCGCCUGACCAGUACCUGCCCCCAAUCCCCCAUCUCUGCAACCCUCUGCGUUAAGCUUUACGCAAUCAGCCUUCAUACGCAUGAUACGCAACAUGCAUUCGCAUGCACAUGCCUUGCGGACUGUGUGCGUUUCAUGUGCGAGUGGACGCGAAUUGCUUUACGCAUUGUCUCCCCACACGCACGAAUCGCAAUAUGGAAUCGCAUGCGUAUCGCCUUGCUACACAUGCGCGUAUGCUUCGCGUUUGAACAUACGCACGGAUGAAUUGUUCAAGUCGACCAAAACGACGCAAGUUUAUUUCCAAAUAAGCCUUUACAAUCUGAAAAUUAUAAAUUUUUAAAAAACUUGGCCAGAAGGGCCGAUUUCCGCUUUUCCAUAGCCGUUGUGCGUUAGCUCUUUGCGUUACAAAAGCAUGCUCAUUCGCACCUAACGCUAAGAUUCGCACCGUUACGCGAACUAACGCGAGCUAACGCGGACUUAACGCGAUCACCCGUCGUCAUAGUGAAUAUCUAUGGCUCCAACCUCUGGGUCCGACGGUGAGUGGGACUGUAAUAAGGGAUCAGCUCACCUUGGCAUCUCCCACGAGUAUAGUUUGUCUGGUCUUACAGGGACGCUGUCACGGAUGCCAGUGUUUUUUUUCAUUUUCAGUCCGAACGGAGGAAUAGGUUUUUAGUCGCGGGAAUAAAAGUAUUCCGAAUCUGUAAGGUGCUGGGGGGGGCGGAGGCCCCCCCAGAACCCCCCCAAUGAGUCACAGUUUAGUUCGUGCAAACGCCAGGUUUGGGGAAUGUCGCAACACACGCACAAUCUCUCAAGCACUGAUCGAAUAGAGUUCGUUCACCAUCGUUGUCUUGCAUCACGUUGAAAGAUAACACUACACGACUUUCCGGGUUGCAAAAGUAAUGAUGCAGAGCAGCAAUAAACCGGAACCACCAAACGCAAACUGUUUCCUGGCCCAUAGCGAUUGCCUCCAUAUGAGAACGUUGAUGUUUGGCCCGCUCACUGUUGACAACCGGGCGUCAUUGUCGUCGGCUGGCUGCAGCAUUGCGUCCACAUUGCCUACGACCUCUACACCGUCUUCAUUAACGUCGCUAAUGACUUCAGUGAAGUUUAAUAUCUGCUUUUAUGGCCUUCCAAGCUUUGGGAGCUCCGGAUCCGAAUGUUUUGCAGUGUUUGGUCCGGUCAGAAACAGUCCGAUUCCUCGUUGACUUUCGGGUGUGAGCUUCCUAACAGUAUCCCUAUGGCAUAAACAUGCCGGUUACCGACCGUUUGGGGCCCAUUAACCCAACCGGCCGGUUGAAUGGCGUUAACGGCCCGGUUGGGUUAACGGUCGGUUGGGUUAACGGUCGGUUGGGUUAACGGUCGGUUGGGUUAACGGGCGGUUGGGUUAACGGGCGGUUGGGUUAACGGCCGGUUGGGUUAACGGCCGGUUGGGUUAACGGCCGGUUGGGUUAACGGCCGGUUGGGUUAAUGAUCAGUUGGGUUAACGGUCGGUUAAUUGGAUUAAUGGUCAGGUGGGUUAAUGGUCAGGUAUUCAUCAUACCUAGCACCCUGCCUGCAUGCCUACACACCUGGUGUGUCCAUCCAGUGGUUCCCCCAAACGCGAAAAUUUUUGGGCUGCCGCUGGGUGUCGCCCGCCGCGGCGCGGCACUACAGCGUACCGUUGAUCCAUGCUUCCAAUCGAUGAUGGGGCUCCGCGAGCCAGGGACCAGCGUCCCAGUCGUAGCCUGAGCUACGACCCCCGCCUACACUUCUGCAAGGGUGGACUUCCGCCUGAGGCGGCGUUUACUUGUAGGCAUCCGUCAGAGUAAUUUUUUGCGGAAUAAAUUCCGAAUUCGGGAUAAAAUUUUGUUCGUGGUCCUGAAAGUUAAGAAUAAAGAAUGUUCUGACCGUACAAUUUUAAAAAGGACUGUCCAUGCCAAAGCCGCUAGAUUCUUACAGGAGACAUACAUGUUAACCCUAUCGUAGUACUUUAAUGCCAUGGAUAUAUCCAUGCCUAGGCUCCCCCAGCAAAGCAUUACGUAGCUCUUGGAAAGCGUCUUCUUCUCGCGGACCCCAGCACCAGGGUGUCCCUGUUUAAUGCCAUGGAUAUAUCCAGCCUAGGCUCCCCCAGCAAAGCAUUACGUAGCUCUUGGAAAGCGUCUUCUUCUCGCGGACCCCAGCACCAGGGUGUCCCUGUUUAAGUAGCGCAUACAAUGGUUGUGCAAUCAAGCCGAAGCCAGGGAUAAGUUCCCGGUAGUAACCAACAGCUCCCAGCCAAGCUCGUACUUCGUGAACAUUGGAUGGCGACGGAAGUUCUGCAAGUUUCAUGAUGUUGGUGGGGUUAGGUCCCACGACACCACGUACUCCGUCAAGUAGAUGACCAAGGAAAACCACGCGUUGUUGGCCAAACGUGCACUUCCCUAUGGCAUAAACAUGCCGGUUACCGACCGUUGGGGGCCCAUUAACCCAACCGGCCGGUUGAAUGGCGUUAACGGCCCGGUUGGGUUAACGGUCGGUUGGGUUAACGGCCAGUUGGGUUAACGAUCAGUUGGGUUAACGGUCGGUUGGGUUAAUGAGCCCCAAACGGUCGGUAACCGGCAUGUUUAUGCCAUAGGGAGUAUCCCGGUAGCGCGGGAAGCAUCGUUCGCCAAUAUUAAUUAAAGGCCUCUAACGCUGCAGGAAAAUUUUAGUAGAAGAUUUAGAACUAUGUAUUUAUUUAGUUUUAGCGUUUGUUCCCGCUUUGAGGGCGUGAAAUGCCGUGUCAUUGUCCCUAAUAAGUCAUUGUCCCGGCAUUUCAAUUGUCGCCCAUAAGCAUGAACCAGGCCACCAACUCACAAGCUUACAUGCAACAACUAAAACCAGGCAAUACUAGCUACGCAAGCUAUGCUAGGACAAACUUUUGAGACAAGGCAUCCUCCAAUUGGCACGCGGUAAAUUGACUUAGAUUGUUUGCCCUGGCAAACUUAUGUACUCCAAACUCAUCCACUGGACGAUGCUGGCUGUAUUUCUUGCGUGGGCGAUCUUGUCGCCGACGGGCGAUGUUGUCCAGGGCGUUCCGGUCAGACUCGUAGGCGCCGACCUCAUUACCGUUGUCCAUGGACAUUGUGUUGGAAGGAUACGUUAAGGUUCAGAUAAAAUGAAGAAAUGAAGAAGCGCUCCUUCAUAGUAUGGAGAUGGUAGAAUCUUCAAGCAACUUUUGAACGACCAGGGAGAGUUGCUGAUNNNNNNNNNNNNNNNNNNNNNNNNNNNNNNNNNNNNNNNNNNNNNNNNNNGCGAUGUUGCCUGAAAUUUUAAACAGAAGGGAUCACUGCUCAUGCUGGUGCAGCAAGACAUGUAAGGAGAUGGCCUGGUCACAAUCCAGCAGUCAUAUAUCGACAAUCUCAAGCUAUGACAACUUGUUACAUGUGUCUGUAAUAAAAAAGGGACUUUGCGAUGGUGUGGGGAGCUCUUUGAGUGGUGGGACUGUGGAAAUCCAGUUUGUUUCGCCCGUAACAAGUUUGUUACGGGCGAAACAACGUCCCUCUGAAACGUUUGGAUAUGCCUAUGCAACACAUUUCCUCAAUUUCAUGAACUGCAAGUAUUCUAAUCCAACAUCACCCCAAUCUCAGUGUAAACUAGUCUCCAAAUGUGCCUGCACAAGACUGUCACCCCUGUCACCCGGCAUUCACAUUGCCUUAACCUCCUCAAGCUUGUCGGGUUGUGACACGUGGGCAUGAACCUUGUGACAAUGGGCAUUGUCACAAAGAAACUGGUUGCAAUCAGAAAUGCAUUUUUGCUCAUGCCAGGUUACCGACAUCGGUUACCGAUUACUGGGGACGGUUAACGGAUAACGGUUCGCCCGGUAAUCCUACCGACCGGUUACCCAUCUCGUUAACUGGACCCGUUAGGUCGGAACCGGGCCGGAACCGGCCUGGAGUAUGCCAUUGGGCUUCUUAGCUGCGAUCUUGAGACCAGCCAUUCGGAGAAGGUUGAACACUUGCUGAAGAUGUCGUACAUGAUCUUGUAGUGUUGGGCUGAAGAUAAGGAUAUCAUCCAGAUAAACCACCACACACUGUUCCCGCGGUGGGCUAUUCAAUGAAGCAGGGGGUGGAGGCGAAUCCUCUAGUAGUGGGCCCAGAACCUUGUGCAUCAGGGUAGCGAACACGGCGGCUGCUCCCUUUAGACCCAUGGGCAUUCGUACAUAUCGAUACUGAGCUGUGGGCGUGGCAAAUGCCGUACGCUCCUUAGAAGCCUCGUCCACCAUCGGGACUUGCAGUAGCCCGACUUCAAGUCCAGGCUGGAGUAGUAACGAGUCUCGCCACCCGGAGGUGCAGCAAUAUCCAAAAUAUCCUGGAUGUGGCCUAUCGGAAACCGGAUGUCCUUAGUGACAUCGUUGACCCUCUGCAUACCCACACAGGGCCGGAGUUCUCCGUUUUUCUUGGGAACAACUACUACUGGAGACACCCAAGGACUGUUGGACACUGUAGCAUCUGCCGCAUCUCAGCAUCAACGGCGGCUUUCUCUGUUCGUGACAGACGGUAAGGAUUCUGCACGAUAGGAGGAUGAUCUCCCAUGUCCACCUUCAUGGACACCCAGGACGUAAGCCCUAGCUCUCGGUUGGUUAAGGCGAACAUGUCAAAGUUGUCAGUCAAACAUGCGACCAGCUGCUGGUGGUCGAGGUACUGAAGAUCGGUGUUUACUUUGCUGCUUAGCAGCUCGCGUAGCUCAGGGGUAGGGCUCUUGACUGGCCGAACCGCACGGGCUACCAACCCGCGAAAAUGAGCCUCCUCUAAAUGUCCGUCAUGAUCCAAGCCGUCUGGGGCAAGGGCAGCUGGCAUGUUCGCAUCAAACUGUGCUGCCGCAGCAUGGCUGUGGGUAACGGAAGCACACUCCUCAGUUAGCAAUCGUGGUAACAGGAGCUCUCGUGAACUCAAGACGGGAAUAGUUUCAGGAAAAGAAUGGAAUGGAUCUGCAGGGGUCGAUAUUGGCGGUCCAGGUCCGGAGUGCGAGUCAUUGUCGUACUCGAACUCAUCUCCAGGCCAGACAUUUGCCCGAGCCUCUUCACUGCCAGAACUGACGAUGCUGUCGGUACUCCAUGCAUCCGCAGCCCAUUCACCGCUGGAGGCACUUUCCGACGGAAUCUCGUCUGACCUAAGCACUUGCCGUACAAGUAGGCCGACGAUGUGUUCCAUGUCCAUGUCCCCACGGGCUGUCGAAUCACCAUCACUAACCUCUCCACUGUUUCCCUCAGGUGAAUCAAUGGUCUCAUGUGCGGAGCCUCUAUUGAUAGCUGCAGGUGACAUCUGCCCUUGUGGCGUGGGCGUCUCAGGCCGCUGUAUUGAUGCCUCGGCCGUCAACAUGGAAGCUGGUUGAGUGUCGUCUUGCUCAGGUGAGUCGUCCCAAAGUCGAGCAGACGGGGGAACAUCAGAGCUGGGGCUCCGGAGAUAAUGGAUAGCAAUGUUAGACCGCUGAUCCCGGUCAUUGGUGUAUUCCAGACGACCAUUGUCGUACGAAAUACUUGCUCGUAUUGGGUAGAGGAAGUCGGUGCCCAGGAGUAACUGAUAGUUGAGGGUGGUACUGACGAACGGACUCAGCAGCAUCGUUAGGUCGCCAGUAGACACUUGCAGUUCACUGACACGUCCAGCAGCCCGACCACGAUUGCCAUCCGCAUUCAGGAACGUCACCUCCGUCUCCUCCAUCAGGUGUAGAAGAUCUAAACGCUGUAGUGUGUCUCGUGUAACAAUGCUAUGAGAAGCCCCAGAAUCGAUGACAGCAGGGACGGGAACUUGUCCUCCAUGCCCAUCAAUUAUCCAUACAGUAGCUUUGCAAACUUGCCAGGUUGGUACGACGGCAUCAGACUUCCAGGCGGGUAUUGUUGAAGAUGGUCGCUCUGAAAGAGAAGCUUGCAUGGUGCCUGCUGUAGGCCUCGCUGGACCAAACAUGGGCCCAGGCUGGGGGUUGCCAGUGCUGGUGUGCUGACGAGCCAACCCAAGGACUCGGCUGCCAACCUUCGUGUAGAUGCUGAUAGGGUUGCAUCAUAGAGUUGUACUCAAUGGUAGUGCAUACUUGUUGAUCUUAUGAAUGAUGUCCUCAGCAAUACGCCAUUCUUCUUCUUGUGGGUCCGCAGGAAUCGGAUCGGUGCGGCUGCCAGACUCAGCUACUCGUCGGCGGAGACGAGGUUCAGCACUGGUGAUGCCUCGCUGGGCUGGGACGGUACCUCUGGUUGCGGCAGUACGCUCUGGAGGUGGUGCACCCGGGGCUGCUGGCUCCUGUGGCUGAUGAGCCUGGGUAGCCAUAGCCGGGGCAUUCAGGGAAGCCAACGGUGUCACCAUGGGUCGUACAAUGCCUAUACGCCCGGUAGUAGCAGGCCGAGGCGCCUCCUGGCCAGGGGUAGGCGCCUCCUGGCCAGGGGUAGCCGUGGGGCGCUUGCGGGGAAGUGGCAUAGGCUCAAAAUCGGCCACACGCUUGACAUAGGCGGCUGGUGGGGCAGUCGGCUGGAAACAAGAGUAGAUGUCCGGAUGCUCCAUCUGAGACAAAUGUGGGUCUUUAUGGGGAGUGUUAUCCCUUUCCCACAAUUGUAUAUUAGGGUUGCGCUUCAGCAACAGGGUUAAUCGUGACAACUGGCGAGCGAUGUCGUCAACUCAUGACUCCAGGGGUUCAUUCUCUGGGGGUGUCGAAACCUUAGGUUUUGGGCAACUAUGCCAGGGAGCAUUCCCAGCGGGCUUCUGCUCUGGUUGCCGUGGUCCCAUGGGACGUUGUGUAGCCACUGGAGUUCGGGGACCAUCCGGUCGUGAGCCACUAGGGGUCGGGGAAUCAGGCAUGUUACCACGAAGGUCGCCGUGACGGUUUUCCCAGCGCGGGGUAGCCCGAGAAGGAUGGCUGUGGAAAUCCAUAUCACAUGUGCGCUGAGGGGGAAACGGUUCGUAGUGGCCAGCCACAUCCUGGCGGUCCAAGCCCUCGUUGAUAUAGAUGGCACAUCGUACGGCGUCUUCAAAGCUAGAUGGUCACAUGAGGAAAACCUUGUUGUAAACCUUGAGUUGUAGUCCUUGUAAGAAGUUAUGCAUGUGGAUGGGGUCGUGUUGCGUGUCCACGCCCAGUUGUGCAGCUAGGUCGCGGUAGCGGUCAGUCUGUACUGCUUCACCCCGUUCUUGCCGACAAUGAGCUAGUCGGCUAAACAACUCUUCUUGGGUCGGAUUGAAUCAUUCCAGAAACGCGGCCUUAAAGCUAGGCCAGUCGGGAAGAGACGUUUCCAUGCCCGCUUGCCAGCAGAUGGCCUCAUCUCCUAGGCGGCAGAUGGUGACGUCCAGCUGAGCCUCUUCACUCCAGCCGUACAUCCGACCACAUCUCUCAACCCUGGCGACCCAUUGCCGUGCACUGUCUCCCAGCCGGAAGAUAGGCACAGACGAGACGCUCGAGGGAUGGGUGUGUGUGAUAAAGUGAGAUUGAUGUUGGCUCUCCAUGGCGUACAAGUUGUACAACCAGUGGGACGCCAAAUAGACUGUUCAAAAGUAGCUAGAGACAGGGCUGAAAACCCUAGUCUCGAUACCAGCUGCACCGUGGCGGGCGACACCCGGCGGCAGCCCAAAAAUUUUCGCAUUUGGGGGAACCGCUGGAUGGACACACCGGGGCGCCCAGGAUCGUUUAUAGAAAGGAAUCGAUACCAGUAGAUUGUCUUAAGCGAGAUAGGAUCGAGGUUUGUGUGGGCGAGCGGAAGCAGAAUCAGAGUUUCAUCCUGAGACUGAAGGCCCAGGUGUGGUUGUGAGCCUGGUGUGAGCAGAGUUUUACUGCCUCUUGGCCACUAGGCCCAAUGUCAGGUUGGAACCUGGUUGGCUGUUGACAAGAUAAAAUGGGUGGGAGUCAUCCACGCCAAGUGAAGGCGAUACCCGUUACAAACUGCCUUGGCCGGUGCAUCCUGCUACCGUGCGCGGGAGUUGUAUGAUUGGAAUAUCCCUCAGAAAAUAUUGGUCAGGCCACGCCUUAUAUAUGGCAAACGCGCCCGCCAUUCGUACAACUGUCGUAUGGUCAACGUAAGAUGCAGCUACCCUUUUCGUGCAGCAACUGCUUCAUUACACAACGGUAGCUAACAGUUUAUGCAGCUCCGGGCCAGGUUCAUGGCGGCCAACGGAAACUGAGAAGAAACUAGUACCGGAUAUUUGUCAUAGAACAUUUCUCAGACCGAAGCUAGAUCGUAAGACACAAACCGCCUGCUUUUAUGUCACCAGAUCGAAACAUACAUUCGUCAGUCUUUAUGCGGUGCACCGUAAGUAUAUGACCGUUCUCAACGCGUUUAUAGUUUCUAAUUAAUGAUAUGGCAAUAUUCCGCCUCCUGCUAUGCCCGGAACAAUACGCAACCAAAGCCGUCAAACUCAGUUCUCUAUGACCAGCUGGAAGUCGCUACAACGCCAUUCCGGGACUGGCCGCGCCAUUCCGGAACUGGCUGUACGACUCAUGAGAUGGCUGCAUCCACGCUAUUUACACGGACAAAACUCUUCCAAUCGGUGUCUUCCAACACCACCAUCCGGUUGUGUUUGGAUAGAUUUUCAGUAUCGGCAGGCGGCUGGCAGAGAUUAAGGCCUGACUUCUACUCCUGGAGAGUGCGGGUUCAAGUCUGCAAGCCAACUUUUUGGGUGUUCGAGAAGUGUUGAAAUGGCCCCCCAUCUUAUGGACGUUGUAGGACCUCAUAAUAUCAGCUUGCGAGCUGACCAGGAACUAAGUUGAGGCACCGUCGAUCAGCUAGAUUUGGUCGGAUGCAGGUGGUGAGUUAUUGAACCCACUGAAUACAUUCUGGGGUAAAUGGAUUAAGGUUGCUACAGGCUGCUCCCGGCCGACCCGGGUUCAAAUCCGCCUGCCGGCCUCUUGGGUGUUUGAGAGAUGAUGAAAUGGGAGGUGGCCCCCCAUCUUGUGGACAGUGUAGGACGUGAUAAAAUCAACUUGCGAGCUGACCAGGAACUAAGUUGAUGCGCCGUUGAUCCGCUAGAUUUGGUUGGAUGCUGGUGGUGAGUUGCUGAACCCAACGAAUACAUUCUGAAAUCGGAUGGGGUGAAUGGAUUAGGGUGCCCCUCUCGCAGGGGAGAGCAGGGACUGCCUCGGGAAAGGGGGCCACUGGCGAAGUAAACCACCAUGUAACAAUGUACAUACUAUAUCGGCUCGUGAGUCCUGCAUUACUUGUAUGAUUGCUUGGGCAAGGUGUUGGAACGAGGGUGCCAAAAGCCUUGGUGACGGCAAAUAUUUUCGUGCAGCUGGUUGGUUUAAGUGAACCAUGUAAGAUUCGUCCGACAUCAAGUGCGGUGAUACAACACAACCUAUGCUACCCACCUAUGCUACCCGCCCCUCCUCCUUUCAUCGCCUCGUCUGUGCUAACAACUCCAUGACAGACUAGGCGAGGGCUAUAGCAUACAUGCAUAAGUGUAAGGCUUCUCAUAGUAUAGGAAAAGCAAAGACAGCUAGCGCGGGUGCGAGAUGCCCUUAUCAUGAUCGAUUAUGUAUGUAUGACAGUGCAUGUGUACGUAAUGUACCUGCGAUAGGUGCACACGCACCAGCUCUUGACCAUACUUUGACUCCAUAAGCACCAGCAUCGGUAGCCUGCCGACCUACGCAUCAAAUUGGCAAUAUCCACACAUAUCGGACAUGUACGGAGCUUUAAAUCGGGCUGAGGCAUGUACGGCCUAAAAAUAGACAUAUGUAUUGAAGGCCAGGGCACAGGAUGCAAUGAAGGCAGGUGGUUCACCCUCACUUCACAAACAAUGGUGACCAACCGUGCCGGUCAACAUGCAGCAGGGUCAACGUUACUUUUGGUGGGUCUGUUAGUUUGCCCAGGUAGUGUCCCACACAUGUGGGUAGGCUCUAGUACAUGCAUACACUGCUUAAGGAGAGCAGCUCGUGUUGCAGCACCCUUUAACAUAAUGCUGUGGCAGGUGCGGUGGCCCAGAUCGAGACAAACGCAAGUGCAUGCUGUUAGGACGUGUUCACAUGUGGGCGAAUCAGGGUUGAUUCAUGCGAAUUGGACUCUGAAUUGGACCUGAUUGGACCCGAAUCGGAAUUGGGGUCCGGGGGGGCCUCUUCGGGUAUGAUUCGACGUGAUUCACAGUUUUCUUUCUCAAAACAAAGUUGUUUAACAAACCGUUUCUCAUAAUUACCAUUACAAUACUAUAGGAACAUUUUCCAAUUGUUAAUUCACGCAAAGCGCACCGAGCAUUUUUCACGCAUGCAGCUGCUGGCCGGGGAUGAGGAGGAGUGAAGUAGCUAGGGAUUCAAGUUGUUCGGUUGGCAUUGGUAGCAGUCUAUGUCUGCUGAACUUGGCCAGCAUGGGAUCUUGAUGGCAUACCAUGUCGGCUUUUGUGCAUUGCCAGGGCUUAGGAAUGAUGAUCUGGGCCCUGAUUCGUUGAAACCUUAACCCUUAGGAUAUGGAGUUAAAGAAGCAUCAAAGGGAUAAGCGCCUGUGACGUGUACUCGACCGUCCAGUGCGCCAUCGCAUGCUUUGACCCAUGGGAAUACUGCGGCGGAGUAUAAUGGCUUGUUUCUGUCGUGCAAUUGUGCUUCGCAACGUCCCAAAACUUAAUUAUUAUAACAAAUAGGGGGGUCCUUGUGAAGCAGCUGCCCGCGUUUCCAAAGCACGUAUGGUGUUGGAUUGUAAGGUGCCCAAGUACGUUUGCGAGGAAGAGGAUGUGGCCAGGCUGGAGAGGAAAGUGCAGUGGCAUAUUGGAAUGUGAGAUUGGCGCACGGGCGAAUUUACGUGUAUACCUUUCACCGUAGCAUCAGUCCUCAGUUCACUUUUUGGAACGAACAUCAGCAUAGGUCCAAGCCCUCUCGCUUGGAGGGAUAUGCAAACAAACAUCCUGAUAGGGGUAAACUCGCACGCUACCGAGCAUUCAACCGAGCACAUGCAUGCUUAGUUGAAUGGUGAGAUGCGACCCCCCCCCUUCAUUUCGUGCUCGGCAAGCCUCCCACCGCGUACCGGAUAUGUUAGCGAUGUUACAGAGACGCUGCACCUUGGUUUCUGUGCGCAAUGCGUACGCUGCUCGACCCCGCCGACCAAAACUACACGUGCCCAACUGAAGACAUUCCCGGUGGUUGUGCAGCAGCUCUUGAGGCUGUUGCUGGCUGAAAUCCAUCCUGAGCUGUUGCAACACGGCUAACGCGGGCACGUCCCUAUGCACAGCAAAUAGCUGUUCCAAGCCAACAGCGGCGUCCAUGUCACCGACAAGGCUCUAAACGUCUAUCUGUUCUUAUGUUAAAUUAAGUUUAUGUAUGUUAUACUUUGCGCAACUUUGUAAUUUGACUUUACUCUGAACAAGGUGCUGCAUACAACUGCCUCUUCGCCAGCGCUUCACCUUCCGCGGCAGUUUCACGAGCCCAGAGUUGCAAGCUACGACGUUGGCUUUCGUUGCUUUUAGUUACUGCAAAGCAGCCACGCAAUAGUCCAGCCUGCAUGCCGCGUGCGACUAUGGCCAGCAAGACCACCUGCGCAAUGCGCUGGCGCACUCCAAGAAAUUUAUAUACACUUGUACAGGCGCAUUUUGAGAAUCGCACGCGCGCAUCUGCGCGGCAAAAUUCGCUCCUGACUUUUUUGGGACGAUGUACGAACUGUUUUCUCGCGAAGUACGACCGGACACAUUUGUGCGAGGGGCUGCUUAAAUAUACCAUACAGAAUCAUCCUACAAAGUUUCAGAGCCAGUCAUGCAUUUCCCAGAAAGCUGCCAAAACUUGAGAUUAGAAUCUAACCCAUUCUAUUGAGAUCUAAUGAGAUCUCAAUAGAUUGAGAUGAGAAGACUUCCGCUUCUAAACCCAGGGGAUACCCUAGUCAUAACCUAGCGUAAUUAUUUCAUCCGGUGUCUAGGCCAUUCGUAGCCAACGAAACACUGGCGGCGAGCGCGCGCCGACGGGCGUCAUGGUUACCGGAACGCUAGUUCCUUUCGGCAUGUAUGAACCUGCACAAAGACUUACGUCCUUGAAACAUAUUCAUUAUGCGUAAUAUUGGCCCCGGGUAAGAACAUCCCAAGGGAAGGCGGCCUGGAUAACUCUUGUCAAUGAAAAGUACCUUCCGACCACCCCAUAAGCGCCGACAUCCUUCCCCCUUGAUGUGUCGAAAUCCCCCCGGACACACCCAGUACUUAAUUAACGCGCCAGAAGGAUUUGCUCGACUGGUCUUGGAGCACCGAUGCCGGCCCGGCCCGGGCCUUCGAGCGCUUUUCCUCACCGACUUGUCCCAGGCAGCGCAGGUACGACAAGAAGUCACACUACCAGCUAAUUAACACAGAAAUCCUGCAUGUGUAUGUAUGUAUGUAUGUGUGUGUAUGUAUGUAUAUAUAUAUGUAUGUAUGUAUGCGACAAACACACACCCCAUGAGGGAGCCGCUUGAGGAGGGGAGGGGAUGACAGCAGUAUAUAGUAGCAGGCUCCUCUCUCUUCCCUUCCCUCCGUCUAUGCGUGGAGUGCGAGUCUUUCUAUCUCUGGUAUCAACAUCACUCGCCCUGUGUUCCAUCUCCAUCUUUAAACAACCCCCCGCCCCUCAGGGCUGGCGGUUGUGGUGGUUGUGAUCGGGGGUUAAGAUGAACCACUGACGUUUGAAGCAGAUACCAGAAUAGACUGAUAGUGGGGGGGAGAUGGGGGGGAAAGCACACACACACACAAUCACGUUCUCACAGACACCCAUUGGGUUUUAGUCCUUCCCCGGCGCCUCACACCUGUGUAUCGCCUGGUGCGCCCCAGCCACACACCCCACCCCCCUCCCUCCCUCAUUCACUCACACACAAAAAAACACACACACGAGGGGGGGGAACUCUCAUCGGACGAACCUCCCCUCCGGGGAGACCUUCAACCCCGCGAGGAAGGGAAGGUUAACCGAACUCUCUAUCUCGCAUUACUGCUCUCCUUUCCCCACAACCACCUUAACCACCUUAACCACCUUAACCACCACAAACCGCAGGGCGGCCUAGGUGGCUUACUGCUCAGGUUGCGCCAGGACGGCCAUGCGGCACUUCGGCUUGUGGGACCGGCUGGUAUGUACGGAAACUGGUACAGUACGGCAGCUUGCUGUACGGGAUGAACCCUGUAACUCGGGGCGUUUCAGGUCGCGAGGGGCCCCCUCGAGGGAGAAGAUGGGCUCUGUGGCAUCUGAAACCCAGAACGUGUCACACGCGACACGACGCGUCGCUAAACACAUGGCACGUGUCCGUGCCUACCCGCCCCACCUCAUAUGGCCACAUUGGUUGCCCCCACGACAGGCCUGUACGACACCGUGGAGGGCCUGUCGUACUUUGUACGGUGCACGCAUCCUGCGCUGGAGCUUACGAUGCUGACGUCCGCACAGCAGGGUUGUGUGUACGACGACGAGUGUUUGGAAGUACGGCCGGUCUGGCGGAACUCGCUGCUGUGGCAGGUACCCCCCUGGCUCAGUACGGCAGAUCUGGCCCCGGGAUCAGCAAGCGGUGGCGCCGCGGAGGCCCAACAGCGGUUUCGGAGCUCUGCAUGUAAUCCUGCGAACGUAACCGCAGCUCCGGAACCAUUUGGCGACGGUGGCGGCGACGGCGUGAUCGGGCCGGAGGAGGGGGCCGAUGGAGAUUCGGAUUGGAUGCUCAACGCGCGGCCACGAAAGCGAAAGAGGCCGCGGCGACGUCAGGGGGGUGGAGCUCGCUUAGGCGAGGCACUAGGCGUGGCUGGGGCUGGGGCCCCGCAACAAAGAACCGCAGCCGAGGACGGGUCUGAGGAGAGGCCGCUGCCGCCACGGAGGAGUCGGCGGCUGUACGACAGCAGUGGCGGAGGCGCCGACGUCGCUGUCACGAAGAAUCCGGGGCAGCUCAAUAGCAGCAGAAGCAGUAGUGAGGAUGAGGCGAGGGCGGGGGAAAGGUGGGGGCAAUGCCGUGCCUAGGCACACUGCCAUCUUUGCAUGCGCUCCGUGCCUCAAUCCAGAGGGCUUCGGCGGCGGCGGCGGCCCUUCGUGCGGCGUGCGACACUGUAUCCCGAGGGAAAGAAGAAGCGCCGCGAUCGGUGUCGGAGGUGUCGUGGGAUUUAGGAUCCUGCAGUACGGCAAGUACUACCGCCUGCGACAGCAGGGAGGAGGCGGAAGAGAGCCUGAAAAGAACAAGCGGCGGUAGCGGCGGCGGCACUGGCAGCAGCAGCAUUAGCAGCAAGGGUGGAGUCCCUGAGAGUGGUGGAGAUAGCAGCAGCGAUGCGAGUGACGGCGGAGGUACGCGGAGCGACACGAGGGCGGAGGUACGCGGAGCGACACGGAGGGUGAUGGCGAUAGCGAUGAGGGUGCGGCGGCAGCGGCGGCGGCGCUGGAUCGCGGCCGUCCUGGGAGAAACGGCACAGUCGCCGCUGCUACUGCAGCUGUUACCGCAGCGGCGGCGGGAGCUGGCGGCGGGAAGCUGCACAGCAGUAGCAAGAUACGGGGUGACCACCUGGACCUGUUUUCUGAAUUGGAUCGUUUGUUCAUGGCCAGCGGCCCAGUGGAGCGUCGUCCAGCGGGGGUGUACGGAGUCGUACGACAUGGUCGCGCGGCAUCAGGCGGAGGCGCUGCCGCCGCCAGGCGCAGCGGUCGUGUGCUGGCUGCAGCUGUCGGCGGCGGCGGCGGUGGCACGGCGGCGGUGCCGCCACCGCCGCCGCCGCCAGGACCUGCGGCAACUUUGACCUCGAAGGUGGCGCUGCGGUCGCAGGUUCUUGAGCGCCUUAGAUCCGCGGUCGGCGGUCAUCACCUGGAAACCAGAGCUACGCUGCCGCCGCAAGGUGUACGGCGUACGGCGGCAGCAGCGGCGGCGGCGGCGGCAACCCCUAGCAGCACCGUCGCCGCCAGGUGGAUGACGCUGCCAGGGCUGCAGCCGCCGCCGCUGUCGUCAAUGCGACAACCGCCGCCACCGGUGCCACAACCGCCACCACAGCCAAGCAAGGCCACCCGGCCGCCAGACGACAACCCGCUUGCCUACCUCCUCUACCCGAAACACACCCGUCAGGCGGUGUUGGUAGUUGCCACCGGCGACUUGGCUGCCAUACGGUCGCUGGCGGCUCACCCCGUGUCGAAGCUGCUGCACCGAGCGCCGUCGGGGUUACUGCUCGCGGUAACGCAUGUGGCGGCGGCGGCGGUGACGUGGCAGGGGCGGUACCGCCAGCUGGCGGAGCGGCAGCUGCCCGGGCCGCACGUGUGGCUCAAGCCUGCCGCCACCGCGGCGACGAUGACGGUGGCGGCGGUGGCGGCUGUGCCGCCGCCGCCGCUGGCAGGACUUGGCCAUUUGGGUUCCGCUAGGGUGACGAUGCGGCUCAACACGGUGGCACCGGCCAUCUUUCCGUUGCCGUACGAGCUGCGUGUACGGCAAUGUGCGGCGGCGGCGCGACGUGGCGUGGCGAAUGAGGACGUUGGGGAACGUGGUGUGGACGCUGUGGACCUGCAGCUGGAGGACAACAUUGCUGCUGCCGCCGCCGCCACCGCCGCCACGGCGGCGGCAGCGGCGGCCGAUCCAACGGCGGCGGCCGCGGCAGUGGAGCCAACGAAGCCGGCGGCGUUGCGCGAGGUGGUGCCCAAUGCUGGCGACGAGCCUACAGGGCCCAGCCCCCAGCCGUUACAGGGGCAGGGGCAACAGCUACAGCCGCCGCCACGAGCGCUGGCGGAGCCGGGAGAUCAGCCUCAGCUGCAGCUCAUUGCGGAGCGUGAGGAGCCGCGGGAGGGCACUGAACCAGCAGCUACAGCCACAACGGUGGUUGGUAACGGGCACGUGGCGGCGGCGGCGGCCGUACAUCGACCGAUGGGUCGCAAGGCCAAUGGCGACCGCCGGGGGGCUGAUGGGAUCAUCACGCAACACCGCAACGCGGCCAAAAGCCGUGUCGCGUCGCUGCUAGAUACGCUGAUGGCGACGUGCGUUGUUGUACAACAUGGCGGCGGCGGUAGCGGCGGCGGUGGUGGGGGCACCGGAGGAAAAUCCCAGGGCUUCUCAACUUCCGACACGGACGACGACAGCAGUAGCAGUAGUGGUAGCGGUAGCAGUAGCGACGGAGAGCAACAGAGGCAGCAGCAGAUCCAGGAGGAGGAAAAGAAGCACGAGUGUCAUCAGGAAGCGGCGGCGGUCCUGGUGCAUUGGUGGGAUGACGGCCCGGGCGAUGGCGGCGGCGGCGGCAGGCUGGGAAACGAGGCGGCGGCUGUGGCGGACUUGGUUCCGGAGCAGAUGCUUCCACCGGUGGCGGAGGUGCAGCGGAGGCCGUUGUUGGAGAGAAGAGAUACCGGGUUGUUGCAGAUGUUGCAGGUGGGCGCGUGUGUGUGGGUAUGUAUGUAGGUAGGUGAGAUCGUUGGAUGCGGGGAUUGUAUGUGAGGAGCAGCAGCAGCGGGAUGAGGGGGAGGGUGAGGAGAAGGAGGGGGAGGAAGUGCCCAUGCUGUGUCCGCGUUGGUGUUGGCUGUAACGAGGUCGUUAAGGGGGGUGCAGGGUUUUCCGUUGGGUUGGUUGGUUGGUUGGUUAGGCGGGUUUUCGCUCUCUUCUCCUUAGACUUAGGGUCUUAGGGUCUCCUUAGACUUAGACACCAUCCUAAUGCUCACUUACCUUCCCCUCCCUUCCACCCCCGCUCCGAAACCAACGAACGUCCCGGGCGGGCCAACCGCUUCGCCAUGGGCGCGUGGCUCAACAUGCUGGACGUACACGUGCGUUUUUGUGUGCUCCAUUCGACGUACAAGGCCCUCCGUCGUACAUUCCCGCACCUGACACGCACGGCAAUGGCUCAGCGAUUCCUCCUCAACCAGCAGCCGCCCCGGCAGGGGGCGAGGGGUCCACAAGUCUCAAGCAGGGACAUAUCCCCGGAGGAUAUCACCCACCGGCGGAUGGACCAGUCACCAUCAGCAGCCUUCCAGCAGCAACAGCAGGUCUCGCAACAUCAUCAGCCGCAACACCAGCUGCAGCAGCAGCAACAGCAAACACAUUUGCAGAUGGAGCGGCACCAACAACAUCAUAAUUACCAACAACAUCAUAAUUACCAACCCGCCGGCCACUGGGCGAACGGCGGCGGAGGGGGACGUACGGCGGGUGGCAGCAGCAGCGGCGGCGGCGGCUUGACGGCAGAGGAGGAGCUAGCGGCAGCCGCGGCGGCGUACGGCACGCCGGAGCAUACCGGCGGCGUCAUGCGGCCGUCAUACUCUUACGCAUUGUACCCGGAGAAUGAGCUCCGUGCCCUCCCGCUGGCCGCACCCCCUGUCUUUGGCUGGCAGUGCGGCAGCAACGUCGGUGGCGGUGGCGCCGGCGGCGGCGACGCUGUACUGCAUUCUCUGCGUCGAAAUAGCGACGUGUACGGCAACCGACUGCACUCGCCGUGGCCAGCAGCUUCGCAUGGCCCUCAUGGCGCGUGGACCGGCCAACCAAUACCGUUGCCGUGCUUAAAAUCGCGUUAGGUCGCGUUAAACUCGCGUUAAAUCCUCGUAACGCGAAUUUAACGCGACGUAACGCGAUCACCCGUUGUCAUAGUGGUAGUACGGCACGCACUAAUAAUACAUAUACACGCUAAAGCGCAAUUCCAGCAUCUAUAGAGGCCUUUCCAGCGGCCAGCUACUACCAAUAUGCCACGUGGCAUGCGUGAAGCUGACAGACGUUUGUAGCGGACCUAACAGGCUGGGGCCUUGGGCCCCACCGACAGUAUCCUACUACGGCAGGAGUGCUAGAGAUUCGUCCGGCAGGUAGGCCGAGAUAUGAGCUUCUUCACCCAGGCAGGAUGCUCUAGCCAGACACUUAAGUAUUACGACUACUUGGUGUUCGGAGGUCAAGACUCUGCUGCCGCCGGUCUAGUUAUACUGUACCUGUUCUGUAUUCUAGUGUCUGCUGCUGGGCUGGACUUCUUCCCGUCUCUUCGAAGGCGAUCUGCUCUACACUUCCGCAAGGCCAGUCGUCUGUAAAGGUGAGUGACUGCUACACCUUGCCUUCCACUGCCGUGCCGCCCGGUGCACAUGCUGCCACUGCCGCCAGCUGCGUAACUCAUUGUUAUUCUCCCAUCACUACACUUGCCCUUGGGAUGUCCUGGUUGGACGUCUGCAUUGGCUUUCUGUCUAUGUCGACCGCGGCCGUGUGUGAACUGUGUGGGAGCCUCUCCCAGUUCCAUCCGUCACCAGCCGAAAUGCUGUACCCCGCGAGUUGCGGUCAAAGCUGACCCUAAGUGUGCCUCCCCGCAGCCACCACCUCCAUUCGAGUGCACCUUUACCGGUUCGGUGAGCUGUCUCGGCAGGCUCUCUCCUGGAUUCUGCCGCCACUCAAUUGUGGACUUGCUGGGCUAUCGUGCAGCUGUAAUGGUGCUCAACUUGCACCCUCGCUGCCUGGGCCUCCACCAUGCUGCCUUCAGGCUGCACCACCUUCACAUGCCUGAGCCUUCUUCAGUUAGACAGGCCUCCUCUGCGAGCUGCCUUCAUCCACCGUCACUGCUACUCCAGUGCUGUCUUUCACAGGUGGAAGUUGCGACCUCACGAUCGUGGCCUUUACACUGCUAAUCACAUACCCGUGAGCCAGUGUUUUUUUUCCGUUUUGGGCCUAGUACCCUAGAGUAAUAAACUGGGUGUUUCUUGCGGUUACUAUUCCUAUUUUAGUCGCUGGGGGGGGCUGCAUGCCCCCCAGACCCCCCCCCUCAAAGGCCUUACGGUGUGCUGUAAGCAACACCUGANNNNNNNNNNNNNNNNNNNNNNNNNNNNNNNNNNNNNNNNNNNNNNNNNNNNNNNNNNNNNNNNNNNNNNNNNNNNNNNNNNNNNNNNNNNNNNNNNNNNNNNNNNNNNNNNNNNNNNNNNNNNNNNNNNNNNNNNNNNNNNNNNNNNNNNNNNNNNNNNNNNNNNNNNNNNNNNNNNNNNNNNNNNNNNNNNNNNNNNNNNNNNNNNNNNNNNNNNNNNNNNNNNNNNNNNNNNNNNNNNNNNNNNNNNNNNNNNNNNNNNNNNNNNNNNNNNNNNNNNNNNNNNNNNNNNNNNNNNNNNNNNNNNNNNNNNNNNNNNNNNNNNNNNNNNNNNNNNNNNNNNNNNNNNNNNNNNNNNNAUAUAUAUAUAUAUAUAUAUAUAUAUAUAUAUAUAAUAAUAAUAUUAUAUAUAUUAUUAUUAUAUAUAUUUAUUUAUAUAUAUAUAUAUAUAUUAUUAGGCGGGCCUCCUUAGCUAGCUGCCUAUUGCAGUUGCUAAACCUGCCGUUGGUGCCGUCCUGAAUGACCGGCCACAGCAGUUUUUAACCUUCACACCCCCCACCGUCGGCUGCUGCCUACAUGUGCCCUUCACUGGCAUCGUUUUGAUGUUAUGCCUUCCUUGCUGUACUUCACUGGUCGCCACUAUUCACUGGCCGGUACCAACCGCACCAUUGCCGCUGUCAUCCAGAUGCAGCAGUCUUAAGGUGCGAGCUGCCUGCUGCAGCUGCCAGAACAGCCUCCGAGCCGCAUGUAGCGGACUGCAGCAGCGGCUUUCUCCUCGAUGUGCCGCCAUUGGCGGCCGUUCUAUACAUGCAGCUGCAGUUCAGUGGCUUCCUAAGCGAUCGGCCUCCUACAGUCGCUAAACACGCAUUUGUGGCCGACCGCCGCAGCGGCUUUUGUCCUAAGUUCCCCGCCAUUGGCGGCCGCUAGCUGCAUGCAGCUGAGCAGCCUUCAGUUCGGCAGGCCGCCUCGACAAGCGGGCAUCCCACGCGAGCGGCCUCCUGCAGUCACUAAACAUGUAUUCGUGCCGCACUUAGCAGACCGCCGCGGGGUUGUUUGGUCUUGGACUGUAGCUGGACGGCGAGACAGCAGACGUAUGUGUCGCCCAAUCGUUCGGGGCUUUUAAUGUGGUGCCGAUAGGUAAUACAGUUUCACAGGAAAGCAUGUAGUCACAUGCAAUUUGGAUUGCGUAUUGUAUGAUAAACCUGGAUAAACAAGUGCUUCUUUGCUACAUUCUGUACCUCCGGUUAUGCUUGAGGAUGUGUUAACCAUGGUACAUACCAAAGCUCAAUGCAUAUAUCUUCAUCGCCUUGUGUGCGGUUCAUGUGUGUUCUGCCCAUAAUCGGGUGCACACUGAAAAUACAUGCAUGCGCAUGUGGAUUAACUUGCUAAUUGUGUGUGCUUGUUGUUUAAGCCUUUCGCACUGAUCAAUUGUUAAAGUCAACCAAAUAAGCGCAAAUCUAGUCUCAAUAAACCCUCUUAAGUAUAAAUACUCAUUCCGUAAUUAAUGUUCCUGAAUGUUCUGUCAAAAGGGCCCAUUUUCAGCUUUGCCACAGCCAUCGUGCAUUAGCUCUGCGUUACGAAACGCAAGCAUAUACGCAUCUAACGUUAUGAAACGGGACGCAACACAAGAUAACACGACCUAACGCUAGUCACCCUUUGCCCUAGUGACCACAUGUAUUUGGGCAGAGGGGCGGCGGACGGCAUCCAGAGGCGUGUGCUGCUGCUCCUGACGCGUGUUGCCGUCCUCUUCCUUGAACACGUACAACCAUUUGGGGGCGGACCUGUUGAAAGCGUGCAGCAGGCAGCAGCUGUGCUGUAGUGUACAGUCGAUUGAUUGCUUGAGGGUGUGUCGGCGGCAGGAGGACCGCAAGCAAAAGGCACGUGUGCAUGUCUUGGCAUGCUUCAGCAAAAGCGGAUUUCGUGAACAUCCUGUCAUGAUGACCGUCAUGAAGUUGCAAUCGUGGAUGGCCAAGGGACUAUUCGCCAUGUUGCCAUACAAGAUUUUUGCCACAAGCGGCUGUAGUUGCUGUCGUACAAUGCGGCACACAUGGUGCUGAAGCACUUUGCCAGCACCUCGAGCUUAAACGAGAGCCGCCUUUCCAGCGGCCAGCUAAUAUAUACACUUGAGCCCUGCCUGGCACCCGCAAGCUGAACUCAACUAUGACCCUCUCCGCUUCUCUCCGUCCCCUUUCUUCGGCUGCUCCACAAGGCAGCCCUAGCCUGAGGUCCGAUCAUGUACAUCCAACCUGUGUCUUCCAACUUACAAGCAAGAUUUGGGCAAGCCAGAUUCGAUCUCCAGUAUCAGCCUUGCCUUGAGCAGCAUCCACUCCUGCUUGGAAUGCGUCUGAUAUGAAGUGGUCAUGGUCGCAAUAAGCAGGUUCAGCAGGAUGAUGGAUACGAAGAGCGAGAAGCUGAUGAGCAUUGCCUGUGGGUAACAGAUGGAGCAGCAACGGUAGGCAGGUAGGUGCAGGGAGCAAGAGGGUGCAUCUUAGCUGAUGGUGUGGGCAGCAGAUGGAGCAAGUAGCGAAUAAUAGGCACCCCACCUACACCGCCAUAAGACAUCAUCCACAUCCGUAUUAGCUCAGCAGCCAGCAUGGGUUUAAUGCGGAAGUUAGCAAUCUGUCGUGUGGCAACAUACAUCGGGGCUAAUCUACCUAUGAUACGCAUGGUUUGUAUGGGGCGUGCAGCAGCACACCGUGCAACCACUGCCAAACGAAACAGCCUCGAACCUCCUUAAAAACCAUCCUACAUACAUACCAUUGCAAGGUUAGUAAGUGUUCAAAGGCAAUCAACGGAACUCAUAUAGACUUCAUAGAUGGACGACCCACGUCAGUAAAAUUCCUCUCGCCUGUAGACGAUGGCCCCGUAAAUAGAUAGGGACCGGCCCUAUCUAUUAUAGGGGGCCUUGGUCUAUAGGCGAUGUAAGAGGGAUCAGCUCCCCUGGCAUCUCCCAACUGAGUACUCUUUGCCUGGUGUUACAUUGGUGCGAAUUGCUAGGAGGUGGGAAAUCACCGGAUCGACUCCGGAUGCGAACAUGUCGCACACCAGGCAUGAUGCAGCAUACUCUUACCCCAAAGGUCGAUGCCCGGGCGGGCGAUAAGUAUAUCAGCUGAGUAAAAAACAAAGUCCUCCAUCUCAGACGGGGACUGACGAAAUGUCAAUAACACUCAAAUACACAAUUCUACGGGAUCUCAAACAACCAAAAUCCUACGGGAUAUGCCUUGGGGCGCCCGAGGACGUUCACUCGAGGGGGGGAGGAAUGUAAGAGGGAUCAGCUCCCCUGGCAUCUCCCAACUGAGUACUCUUUGCCUGGUGUUACAGGCUAGAGGAAACUUUACUUACGCAGCAGGAAGUAAAAAUCAUUAAAAUAAUAAUACACUAUUCCAAUCGGCAAUCAUGUACAGCGCCAACUGCCUAAACAUAUACCGACUCCUAGCUAUGUAUGCACCAGCCAUGCAUCAUGCCAAUAACGCCACAACGAACUUACGUGGAGGUACCAUACGUACUUCGCCUCGCCAUCCACGCCCUUUUCGAUGCCGCCGGCCGCCUACAUUGCAUGCAUACCCAGGAACAGGUAGGUAUUGUAACAAGCUACAUUUACCUUAGAAUAUCUUUAAGCUAUUAAAGCUUAAUCACAGUAACGGUACAGUCCCGUAGUUACGAACCAUACUCGUUAACUGUACGAACUCACUUUCUGUUACGCUAUCACAACCUAGCGUACGACACCAAGACUCCAGGAAUGGAGAUGGUGGCAGGUGGCCGCAUUUAAGCCACCCAGGUGGAGUGCUUCGGCCAGACACUUAUCGUAUCACUAUACCAGUGUUCGGAUGUUCGAGACACCGCUGUCACCAUUCUCGAUGUAUGUCUUCGAAUUCCGACUUCCCGUAUCUGUUCUCGCGCCUAUCGCUGGGUCGUCAAUCGUGGACGAGACCCUCCUCUUCCGCUCAAACAGCUAAGGUAAGAGACGGCUGUUACAGGUAUAUAUCACCGGCAACUUACAUCAUCCGCAAUGCGGGCGGGGUGGAGAAGAAUUCAUCAGAGGACAAUAAUAAUAUGAGCUAGGGUAAUAUUAGGAAUUAAAAAAUGCCCACGCAGUUGCACAGACUUUAGUUUCCCCUGCACCCUGACUUCAAUUUCGGCGGCAGCUCGUCAGGGAGUGGCUGGUGCAUACAUAACGAUAGGUAGCUCAUUUACAUUUACCUUGGAAAAUACUAAGCUAAUCAAGCUGAAUUUAUAAAGCGGCGCGAUGUAAGAAUUACGAACUGCACUCGCUAAUUGUAGGAACUGUCUCCGUUAAAGGAGUGUCAUGAUAUCGUAUCGUGACAGGAGGGUCAUCAUAUCAGAUCGUGACUCCAGGAAUGAAAGGUAGCGCUACGCGGUAGGUGGCUAGCGGUAGGUAGGUGGCUGGCGGUAGGUGGGCCGCAAAUAAUCCAUCUGGCCAGGACACUUAGGAUAAUUACACGGUCGUGUUCGGGGUUCAACAAGUUGUCAACCCUGUCGACGCCGUUCCUUUGUUAGGUCAAGCAAGUCGUAGACCCAAGCAAAGCAAAUCUGAAGCUGUGUGGUGUGUGUCGCUGUCUAUGUGUAACGGUAUUACACAUUAUUAUUACAGCAGGUAUCACAGUCUCUAACGAUCUGCAGAUGGUAAGAGGAACCGGCAGCAGAGCAAGCAACUUGAGAUCCCAGGUAAUGUAGUUUGUGUGUCUGCCUGUGUGUCUGUCUGUAUGUGCGUCUGUUUACCCAGGUACUACUCCGCCCCAUCCUGUCCCAGCCCUUCACUUCUCUUCGGUGGGUAAAGUGCUGCGGCGGGUACACAGAGAAUGCUGUACGUGUACGUUGCUUUGUCGCAUUACCCACUUUCGCCAUAUGUACCAGCCAGCGGCACUACACAGCUCGAUCAGUGCCUACACAAGCAGAAUAUUUGCACUGCCAGCAUCUUGAAGAAAAGUGUUUUUGUUGGGCGAGUAGUUACCGCACAGUGGCACGCACCUGUUCUUUGCUCUCUCUCUUCUGAUGUAUUGGCUAUUGAAGACGACUUAUAAGUUAAUUAACUGCCUUUCCUAUCUUUGUCCCGGUCAUCACCCGUUACCAACUCCCUGUGUAUCCCUUUUCCCCCCCUCGUGUGCCUCUGUGUGCAUUUUAUCCCAGGCUUGUUCCCGCACACUCUCCCUUACAUACUUCACGUACAUACAUUCCUCCUAUCCUCUUUCAUACCAUGAAGUAGUAGACCGAUAGGAAGCUGUUGGGGAAGCCAUUAAAUAACUUGGUGAACUUGUCGGAAGUGUUGCCGCCACCAUCAUUGACCGCCUGACCACAAACAAACGGGGCAGAUGGACUAUAAGAUCAGACAAAGAGUGAUCACGGGAGAUGCCAAGGGGAGCUGAUCCCUUCUUACAUGGGCGGUGCGAUGAAUCUCAGUGUGAGUGUUUUGGACAGGAGAGGGCGGGGCGGGGCCCACAUACAUGGUGUGAUAGACCGUAGAGUGCAGCAGGGCAAAUAUGAUGCUGCAUGUGUGUGUUGGUACAAACCCGAAAGGGUUCAUGUAUCAGUAGCAGCCAUGAUGUCAUGGUGGCGAGUUAGGUGCACAUCUGAUGGCGGACACUGCUUUGCAGUGAUCAAAGUAGGGCUUCAGACACAGCAAAUUUUUUUAGGCGCGGCAUAAGAGCCCCUGAAAGGCUCCAGGAUCGAUCCUGACCGUAAGAGGGUGGAAGCACCCCUAUGCCGACAGACAGUGACCGACACGGUCAUAGUGGCGACCUGUGAGCCGACCAGGACUUGAGUUGGCACCGCUGUUGAGUUGGCAAAUUCCAUGCUAGUGCACUAUGUUGUAUCCUGUAAGCUUCUUGGCUCCAUUAUCCAACUGUCAGUGGUUACCUCGUCCGGUCCGAUUUGCUAACACCUGUAUAUUUCCGCUGUCAGUGAUUACAGCCUGUAAUUUACAGGUCUAAUACUGAUAUUAGUUUACUGGCGGCUACUGUUAGCUGCGGUGGCUAAAGCGACUACUGAUAGUCGUCCGGCAUCCGAAUGCCGCACCGCUGCAAAAGUCCAUACCUGUGUAGUAUUCUGGGUAUCACGGGAUGUAGCAUCCGCCGAUCGGUUCUUUUCCUGCGAUUAGACGUGAUACAAAAACCUGAGUAUGGGCGGGGGCUUUACCUGAAUAAAUCUGGGACCUGCGUCCCUGGUACUGUCUGAUUAUCGGUUGGGGGAAUAUCCGUCUGCGGAUAUCGGUUCCAUCUACGCCGCCCAGUCAGACUGGGAACAAUCAAGGAUAUGCUGGUGUUGGGCCCAGGUGGACUCUGCUGGAGAUUAUAAUCCAUCCAUUUGCCUCAAUCGGUAUCUUUCGAUACCUCCAAUUCAUGGCUGUGUUGUCUGAAGCUUACUACACACUAGUGCACCACGUGGUGAGAGCUAAACCCCCAAUAGCCACCAACUCCUCAUAAGUCGGCAUGAAUGGGUGAGAAGGAUGAGGGUGUCCUGAAACAUCGGGUUAGGGAGGGACUGCCAGGCUAGUGGCCCCGCCCUGUUUCACAAAAUUAUACAUAUAGCAGCCACGCACCUGUGUAACCCUGGAUAGCUAACCAACGUGGUGUGAUGCAUCGCUGUAGGGCACCGUAGCUUUCCCCUACCCUUCAAGGGUGCCACGUUUCUAGGGUGCCACGUUUCUAGGCAGCAGGUAUUAUAUUUCCAUGCUAUGCAUGUGACUGCUUUCCUAGCUACGUAUACGUCAGUAGCCAGGCGGGGUAUGGGCUAGCGUUUGAAUUAAAGGAAGGUGAUGUUGCAAAUACAGAUGCGACACCUUAGUGAUGAGUUACCUGUUGCUCGUAGUAUAUGAUGAACUGCCGGAAUGUGAAUGCGUACGUGGCCAGUGUAAUCGCCACAAUGAGCAGGAAGGGGCGCAGGUCUUUGAAGAUGCGGAUAAUGAUCUGCACAUAGAUGCCCGUUCCCUCCAGACCUAUGGGCGGCAAAGGGGAGUUUUCAUGAGAAUUCAUCGUUCGUUACACACUAAGGGUACCUGCAAGCAGUAAACAGCCGUCUUCAAUCGGUAGGUAGGCCGGGUGAGGGCCGGCUACCGUGAAGGCUAUCGCUACGGCCUUGACGCCUACAGCCUCACGGCAACCACCCUAUGUAGCGACAAAACCCGAAAAUCAGUCCUCCAAGCACUCGUGAACUCCUUAACUGGCACCAAGUGCCGUACCAACGCCCUUAUGAGGGCACAACUCCUCUGAGUUCACAGAAAACCUUGGUUUUCUAGUAGGGUUGGCAAAAAUACUAUAUUUAUUUUCCCAAUAGUACUAUAUAUAGUACUAUUUCUUACUAUACUAUACUAUUUGCAAAUAGUAUAGUAUAGUAAGAAAUAGUACUAUAUAUAGUGAUAUAGUACUAUGAUACUAUUACUAGGCAGGUACACGCUCCCUGUAGAAGGGGGGUGUACGACCAACCGUUGUACCUGAAAAUUACACCGUUGGAAAGGUCUUCUUUUGUUCUUUCUAAAUAUCUACUUAGACAUGAGAAAGCAGAUCGCUGUGGUCAUCCAGAUCACUUUUUGUUAGUUCAGUGCCCGGUAGGUGGACCCCAAACCCCAUGUCUCAAGGCAACUCGGGCUUCUCGAUCAGGUGAAUAGGCACGUUGUUCCUGUAGAAGAACAUGCCAAGCUCCUCCACGACUUGCCCCGCGAGAGUCGCGGGAAUCACUGGGAGGAGGGUCUGGCCAUCAAUGCCGCGCCGGCGCUUGGAGAGGGCCUGCUGAUCCGCCGUGCUGGGGCCCGCCACAGCAGAGCUGGUUCCACUCUGUUGCUGUUGCUGGCUGAGUGACGCUGCACGCUGUUUGAUAGCCUUGCAAGCACCUUGCUUGAUGUGGUGCGCGUUGGUAAAGGAUGGGUUCACUGCGCUGAGCGGCUCAUCGCAGAACAGGCAGACUAGCUUUGGUACACCACCCCACCACUCCACAUCGAAGUUGUCCCAAAGACUACCCGUCUUGGCGUUCUUCUUCUGGUUACGAAGCUUGUUAAAAAGCUCGUUCCGAGAACGGAGAACUUCAGGGGGGACGUCUGGACCAGGAUGCAAGCCUCUGAUCGCCUUCUCAUUCUUUAUACUGGAUUCCUUUGACAUUAUUCAUCAAUAACUACGUAGCACAGCUCGAAGACGCGGCUAUAGCCCUUCAAAAUACAGCUUGACUGCAGAUCUCGACUUGGUCCAACUAGUACUGGACACUAUCCAAACCCAAAUCUAGUACUAUCUACUACUAAUUUUUACUAUACUAUUUUACUAUGUACGAACGCGGUACGAGCGUCGUAAACUAGUACCAGUUUAGAGCCCUGCAUAGUAAAUAGUACUAUGCAUAGUACUAUUAUAGUAUAGUACUCUUUUCUAGUAUAGUACCCGUGCCAACCCUAUUUUCUAGCGUUGCACUCAGAAAACCUUCAGUUACUUAGGCAAUUUGAGCUUAAUGAAGAGAUCGAUAAGCAAGAUAGGUUGGAUAUGCAAAGCGGUGGGCAGGGUCCACACUGGAACAUCUGCAUGUAUACUCAACUGUGAGCCAAGCAGCCAACCAGGCAAUUUGAGCUUAAUGAAGAGAUCGAUAAGCAAAAUAGGUUGGAUAUGCAAAGCGGUGGGCAGGGUCCACACUGGAACAUCUGCAUGUAUACUCAACUGUGAGCCAAGCAGCCAACCAACCCACUAAACGUCGACACCACCUGGCUAAAGAUGUCCAAGAGCACGCCGACUGGAUGAAUCUAUCAGCUCCAAGUGUCAAGUUCUAACACACAGCAGCUAUGUAGUCCGUACUUCACACAUACAUACACACAUAGGUGUCACCCGGAAGCAGGUCUGGCUAGUACAGCCCCCGACCGGCUGCAAGCAGGCCCCCUGGGACGUGAUUGCUCUAGCGGCCCUGGCUGCCAUGGAGGUCGGCAGAUGCUGCCUGAGGGUGGCCAGCAGGAGACAGGAAAGGGCGGCAAACCAGGAGCCGCCGCCGCAACAGCUAGCUCAGCAGGUACAGGUGCAGGGCCCCAGGCAGCAGCGGAUAACGGACUUCUUCCCCCCAGCCGACGGGGUGGGACCACAGGUGGGGCCCGCACUGAACGCGCCGGGGGACGAGGACCAAACACUGGGGCGAAAUACAGAGACAGGGGCAGUAGAAACAGCCGCAACCACAGUGGCCGCAACCCCCUUGGAGCGAGCCCGCGCCCAUGCAGUGGUGGACUUCUGGAUGCGUUUACCCGCUUUCGCAGUGCUGGGCAUCCGGCGAAGGGGCUGGUGGGAUGGAGUGUGACCUGACCUCCCGAUCUUAUUGGUUGCAGAAGCAGCAAUGUGAUGCGCGGAGGCGGUCGAAAUGCAGCUUAAUAGCGCUUGUGGGUGGAUUAGGCAGGGCAGGGCUCGGGUGUUGUAUGGGAGGUUGAGGAUGAUUGGGACUGGUGGGGGGAAGGGAAGGCGGGUGGGGGGUGCAGGGCUCUUAAGGGUUGGAGGGUGGUGUGGGGGGCAGAGGGCAUUAGGAUGGGUGGGAAGGAAGGGGUGGAGCUGAAAGUGGCCGGUGGGGAGCCAAGGGGGAAGUGUUUCGUUGGCUGGGGGAGGGGAGGGGAAAGGGGGGAAAUGGUAGUGAGGGGCAGGGAGGGGGGGACAGGGAGGGAGGGGGUCAGUUUUCGCCUAACACCACGCUGAUGGGAAGGGUUUGGAGAGACUGGGAUAGCUGGGGGCGAUCAGGGAGGGGAUGGGGUAAGGCUGAGAGAGCGCCAAGAGGACGUAGGUCUUGGGGAAUCAGGAGGUAGAACACCGGUGGUUGCAGCGGGGCUCGGAUGAGGGGGAGGUGUGACCCGAGAGGGGCCGUGCUACUUAGGCACGUCUGUACUGCAGGGUUGGGUGGUUUGGCAGAGAUCGAGGUCGGGAACUUUGCCUUCUGGGGGGUGUCUUGAGAUCUAAAAGACCAGCCGUUCCGGUCUAGUAACGGUAAGGGGGAGGCGCCGCGCAGGCUACUUUCCUUCCCCUGUGGACUUCUGGUGGACCUAGGAGCUGUGUCCUGUGACAGAGUCCUACCGUAUCUCCCCUGGAACAGCCCAGGGAGGGAGAGCUGGAGGAGGUCAGGAGUCUUGAGGUGGAUGUGAGGCGUCUUGUGGUUUUUAGCUCUCUUGCCUGUCCUUUUUGGAGGCCGAUAAUGGGAUUGUGUGCAGUUUCAGGGGACCUCCCCUGUCCGAGACAGCCCGGCCGUUCUCCUUGGCCUCUUCGUUUUGGGGGUGGACUGGAGACUUCGGUGAGCCCUUGCCUCAGCUCGGGUUAUGAAGGAGUUCAGGCGGGACUUGAGAGCCAGUCCUGUUUGUACUGCCGCGCCAUCCCAGGACGGAGGCGCGGCUGAGCGGCUGUGAUGCGUACUUUUUGACGGCCUGAAUCGGGUCGGGAGUACACAUGACUAGCCGAAUUUUGCUGUGUGCUCCCGACCCCUGCCCUGUGUUUCGGCUUCGGCCCCCGGCUCUAGCGGCCCACAGUGUAAUAUAAUACGUACAUACAUACUUAUUAUACUUUUUUUGGUUGGCCUGUUAGGUAUAUCAGGAGCCCUCCCCUGCCGGGACUGCCCUAACCGAAUUUUUGUUUGUUUGUUUUCCUCCCUUACGAUCCCGUUUUCUUUGGUGGUGUUUUGGGGGGUUGUUUCAGAGAGCCUUUGACUUUGCCCUAGCUGAGACUUGUGGACUCGCUCUAGCGGGACCUGAGAGCCCUUCGUGGUGUUUUCACUGCAGCGCCAUCCCCGGAUGGAGUGGCUGCGGAGUGGCUGCGUAGAGUGUUGGCAGUCUGAGUCGGGGUCGGGAGCACACAAGACUAACCGACUUGUGCUGUGUGCUCCCGACCCUUGCGCUGUGUUUCGGCUUCGGCCCCCGGCUCUCGCGGCCCACAGUGUAAUCUAAGCCAUACAUACAUACAUAUAUACAUGCAUUGUACGUAUGUAUGUACAUACACAACCUUAGGUACACAUAGAUUAUUACGUACAUUUUUACUAGGCAGCUGGCAGAGGUUAAGGCCUGACAUCUGCACCCAGCCGACCCGGGUUCGAAUCCGCCUGCCGACUCCUCGGGUGUUUGACGAGUUUCGAAUUGGAAUCAACUUGCAACCUGACCAGGAACAAAGUAAUUGCGCCGUUGAUCCGCUAGAUUUGGUUGGAUGCUGGUGGGUUGCUGAACCCAACGAAUACAUUCUGAAAUCGGAUGGGUUGAACGGAUUAGGGUGCCCCUCUCGCAGGGGAGAGCAGGGACUGCCUCGGGAAAGGGGCCCGCUGGUGAAGCUUAACCACCCUGUAACAACAUCAUACUAGGUCAGGCACUACUGGUAACGCGCCACCAUUGCCCCCGGGAGACCUGUCAGAGUCGAAGACCCUUCCGAUGGUGGAAGGUAUUGCGCCCCUAUUUUAUGGACGAUGGUGACCUGGGAUAAAGUUGACUCACGAGCCGACCAAGAAUGGAGUUGUAGUAGCUGGCCGCUAAAAAGGCCUCUCGAGAUACUUGGUCGUGCUUCGCGCGUAUUUGUAGAGCCAUACUGUGUACCAGCUACUACAUUCCCCGACCUUUGAAGGGAUCCGUUUCGGGCCCUUACGGCCACAUAUACCACCCGCAUGUGCCUACCUUCGCCUACCCUCGGGCAGUGUUUUUUUUCAUGUGUCGUUUUUACAUGCGCCUAGCCGUCAUAAGGUUAUUCAGGCACAGAGACAGUCCAGUCGGUUCAGCUACAUUUUUAUCACGAUAAUCGCUCACUGAGGCACCAAACCCGAAAUUCCACCAAGCAUGAUUGGUGCGAGUUGAACCGACGGCUUCAGGAUCGUGAGUUUCCAUGAGGUUUCAAUACCAAAUGUAGUAGCUGGCUGCUGAAAAGGCCUCUCGAGGUACUGGCGGUCGCGCUUCGCACUUAUAUGUAGAGCCGUACUGUGUACCAGCUACUACAGGAGUUGGGCCACUGUCGACCCGGCAGAUUCCGUUGGAUGCUGGUGGUGGAUGCGGAACCUGAGCGAUCCACUGAGAAGUUGACUAGGGUGACUAGAUGAGGGUGCCCCGAAAUACCGGGGAAGCAGUGUUUCGCAGGGUAGCUGCCACGGGUGAAGAUAUACCCCCCUGUUCCACACAUCAUACGUAGUAUACAUAUGCAUUGGAAUGCACCCAGCGACAAACCCUAGUGCCAGCCACCUGAUGCCACAUGGAGCAUGCGGAUCCCCAGGAGCAUGGUGCAUGCGGACAUCACCCAGCGGGCCUCCUCGACACCCAGGAGCUUGCAUGCAGUGCAGCAGGCGGGAGGGGAAGGCAAGGGGCAUACGGCAUUAAUGGUGAUGGCGGCGAUGGCAGCAAAGCUGGCGUGCCUUGUCAUAGCAAGCUACCUAUACCUCUAAAUCUAUGCAUGCCCCUGCCGAGCUGGUUAUUACCUGGGCCAACCAGGCUGGAGUCCAUAACCCAUACCCACAUUCCCUCCCUCCUCCCAUUCCUCAGCCAUUUGCCGACAAUCUACAUAUAUACAUAUACACACAAGUCCUCGGGCCCCCCCACAGCUGAUAUGGGCAGGAUGGAAGAAAGGCGUCACAUGGGGGGGUACCUAUGUCGCUCACACAGGACACAUACACCUUCAACACAGUAAAUCAAACACAGCAUGCACGUGCAUAAGCCCAACUCUCACUUGCAGCAGCAGCACCAACACCACCAUGGGACUUGAGAACAUCUCCACCCAGUUCCAUACAAAGCUGAGGCCUGCAGACAGAUCGAAAUACAUAAAUUCAGGGAGAGAACACCAAUUCAGACCUGGUCUACCUGUUGAUACUGGAGGUGAUGGUGCACCAUAUGCGGGGGCGGUAGGUCUGAGCCAAACGUAAGAUAGAAAUGUUCAUCUGGUCUGGUCUGGGUUGACACUACUGCAAUUAGCGGUGUAAGGUCCUGAAUUCGAUUCCCAGGGAAACCCUCAAUUUAGUCGGGAUGGCUAACUGCUGAGAUGUGGAGUUAAGGACACAGUUGAUGGAUCAAAUUCGCACGCUGAAUUGGUGGCGAUUGCCGAACCUUCCGUCUCUUCGGAUGUUCGGGUGAAUGGAUGAGGAGGGGUCCCUGAAGGCUGGGUCCGCCGCCUUGGGCUUACAGUUCGUAUGGCGAAGUACAGUGUGGUAGUGGUGGAUGGUGCUAUAAGGUGAUAAAUCGUAGAACUGACAAUGUGAUAAAGCGGCCCAGAAGCCUCCCACUCUGUAACAAUACAUUACAUAUAAAGACACGUUCAUAAAAAACCCACCUACGCACCCAUAUCGCCGCGAUUUAGAGCGUGCAUCCACAGUUACGCCUCUCACUCGAGGAUCAGAACAUAGUAACCCAUGCACCAUCCAGAGCUUCAUCACAUGCAGCACUAUUGCCGCGCAUGGUCUCAAAUAGAUGUCCAAGCAAGCUAGCAAAUACCUUGAGAGCAUAUUCGGCUGUGUACCAUGCAUACCCAAUUAAUAGGGUGUUGUAUCCUGAAAUCUGUUCUCUGUAGCUGUUCGUAUUUCCUUUCGGUUUAAGGUUCAAACUGUUCGAUCAUCUUUACCAUUAUCGCUGUAACGAACUGAAACCUGUUCACAUAUUCUGUUUAUGUUUACAGGACUGUCUAAUUUUACUGUUACUAACCUGGCGGCUUGCGACUGCUGUGCGUCGGAAAUGCAUUGAUGCUAAUCAAAUGCCACACCGCUGCGGAAAUCCAUACCUGCGCAUAUGCGGGGGCUUUACCUGGGUAAAGCUGGGAUCUGCGUCCCUGGUACUGUCUGAUUAUCGGUUGGGGAAUAUCCGUCUGCGGAUAUCGGUUCCAUCUACGCCGCCCAGUCAGACUGGGAACAUUCGUGAACAUGCUGGCGUUGGGCCCAGGUGGACUCUGCCUCAAUCGGUAUAUUUCGAUACCGCCAUUUAGUGGUCGAGAGGUACUACAUAGGGGCGGAAAGUAGGGGUGUUCCUACCAGCGGCCGCCUAGCUCCCCAUCCCAAUAAUAAUUCAUCUGUGUUUUGUGAAGCCUGGACAGUCAAGUUUUUUCCUAGCUAGCCUUGCGCCAGCAAGCCGGCGGUUAGGUGUACAACAGCAUACUCAUUCUGCCUGGUGGACCCGAACGAUUACAACACAAUUUCAAGCACCCGUUUCAACCUAUCUGCACAUACGUACAUACACAUACACAUACCGAAGAAGUACUGGUGGACUCCCUGUCGGGACACUUGGAGAAGAUCUCGCCACAGAUACCGGAUGCUGCCCAGCAGUAGCAAGAGCUCCAGAAAGAAGCGGACCACCAUCCCUGUACUCACACCUCUCCUGCCGUACAUAUCUGCCAGCCGGCCUACGCUUGGGUACCAUUCCAAACCGAUCGUCGUGGUGGUGAUGUACAAUGCCAUGAAGAAGCAAUAACCCACGGCCUGCCUCCGGUAUAUCUUGCCUGCGUGCGGCGUGCCAAUAAUAAUAGCAUGUGUACUUAUAUUACAUACUUUGUGGAUGAGAGGAGAUAGAGUGAUAGCUUAGGCCUGUGUGGGCUCUCGAUGGUCGGCCCGUGGUGUAGGCGAUGAUGAUGGCAGGAACACGGAAAUGCCUGAUCACUCUUUGUCUGAACACAGGUUUGCUGCAUGAUUGCCGGAAUCACCACUCCGUAAGGAUGAGGACUUGUAAUCGUAAGGUCGCAGCUGCAGCUCCAAAUCUGAAUGACUCAUAUCUGGUGCAGCCAACUGGAUCGCGCAGCUCUUUUGGUAAGGUCCGAGUCCGUCCCCGGCUGGCCCUUCCAUAACGAUGAUCAAUGAGUCGGUCAGCAACUAGGUAAUACUAUCAUAUGUACUAGGCCUAGUACAUACUGCUAGCUGUAGGCCAUGCUGCUGCUNNNNNNNNNNNNNNNNNNNNNNNNNNNNNNNNNNNNNNNNNNNNNNNNNNAGCAGCAUGGCCUACAGCUAGCAGUAUGUACGUAGCUAGCUACAUGACCGCAUAUAUGCCUAUGCAUAGGCAUAGGCAGCACACCCAUCGACCAAUCAACCCGCCAGCAUGGUUACAGCAACCGUCUCUCUCGGCCAUGUACCGAUCCGAGCCUGCUGAUAUAUGCUAUCCACGUAAGGAGGUGGAAACUGGGGGGGCGAGGGGGUCUUGCCGCCCCUACUUGUAUGACAUGAUAUGUAUGUAUGGACCGUCGGGCGGCUUACCAGCGUACAUGUCCCAUUUGUAUGUGAUCACCGCAGCUAUUGCGUCAGUUGAGAAGGCGCCAUGGACAUGGUUGGCAACCAGCGCGCCCAAUGGAGAAAGGUACACAUAUCGCGUCAUCCGUGCCACGUGCGGCAAUCCACAGAAACCAAACUCGUACCAACGGUGCUCCAAAGGCCUGUGAAUGAUGCGGGUCGGGAAUCUCCUAUCAUCACCAUGAUAAUUAGAUCAUGGAAAUGCAUGAAAGGAAGGUAACAUGUACUGGAUUAGGGAGGAAUGGGCGGGAGACGUUACUGCUGCAUGUGUAUGCUUAGCUUCCUGCAAUCCGGGUCUGGGCACAUUUGCCUGAGGAGUGCAGCAGCUUGGAUAGACUGCUGGCAAUGCUCAUCGGCAGCUGCAGGCGGAGAUCUGCUACGACAGCAAAAUACUGGUGGCUAAGGUAAGGGAAAUACCAACCCUACAUUGCCAGCCCCUGCAUUGACACACGCCAGGGCUUAGGCCCCGCAGUUAUCUUUCCUGAGCUUCCUGCAUGUGCUUACGGAAGGAGGAUUAUUAUCAGCCUGCAGGACGGCCGAAACACAAAUCCCCAAGACCUAGAAAUACAUGAAUAGAUACAUAGAUGCACACCUGCAACUUACCACACCCGGGAUAAGAACAAGUUAUCUUUCACCACUUUAAGCAGCCAGUCCACCAGUCCUUUGGCAUAGGACCUGAAACGGGACGUGCUCGCCACCCUGAUGUUCGCGAGCACCCCGCCGCCAUCGCGGUGUUCAUUCGCCAGCUCGUCCGCUACCUUCUCGGCCUUGCAAUUGUCCGUUGGGUCCGUUGGGUCCAUCUGGGAAUCCACAUACAUGGCAGGUGGCUGGCAGAGGUUAAGGCCUGGCUUCUGUUCCCGGACGAUCCGGGAUCAAAUCCACCUGCCGACCUCACGGGUGUUAGGGAGGUGUCGAAAUGGGAGGUGGCUUCCCAUCUUGUGGACGGUGUAUGACCUGAUAAUAUCAACUUGUGAGCUGACCACGAACUAAGUUGAGGCGCCAUUGAUACGCUAGAUAUAGAUGGAUGCUGGUAGUGAGUUGCUGAACCCUAUGAAUACAUUCUGAAAUCGGAUGGGGUGAAUGGAUUAGGGUGCCCCUCUCGGAGGGGCGAGCAGGGAACUGCCUCGGGAAAGGGGGGCGCUGGUGAAGCUAUACCACCCUGUAACAACAUACAUACAUGGUCAUAUAUGUACGAGCCAAGCGGCCAAGCAGCCACACAUCUCCCAAGUGAUGUCAUAGAGUAACGAUGCCGUAUAGCUAGACCAUAUCGUACACAGCAGUGCAUCUCGCCUACUCUGCGAUAUGCAUAUGCUGCAACUCGAGGCAUAAUUAUGCUAAAAGACUGGGUAUAGGAUGACACUUGGUAAAUACUUGGUACCGAGUGCUUGGUAUAAUUAUGAAGUCCUUGAUAAAUUUUACUUCAGAUUUGUUUGAAGUUCUUGGUAUGCGGUACUAAGCGCUUCGAGGGCAGUUAGUAUGUAACAUGGUGCUGAGUGAUUUACUAAGCGGCCUCUUAAGAAUGUUACCAGGUAGCUAUGAAGGACAUAUGAAGUGAGUACCACUAAGAUGAUAAGAAGGUGUUCCACCAGUGUAACACUCACACAUACACAUACACAUACACAUACACAUACACAUACACAUACACAUACACAUACACAUACACAUACACAUACACAUACACAUACACAUACACAUACACAUACACAUACACAUACACAUACACAUACACAUACACAUACACAUACACAUACACAUACAGAUACACAUACACAUACACAUACACAUACACAUACACAUACACAUACACAUACACAUACACAUACACAUACANNNNNNNNNNNNNNNNNNNNNNNNNNNNNNNNNNNNNNNNNNNNNNNNNNGUCGCAUCCAGCUGCUCAGGCGUACAUAAUUCUUCGCCAAUCCGUCGGUUACUAUGUGUGUGUUACAUGGUUACUAUGCGGUGUGGUUACUAUGUUACAUACCUACCAUGCCGUAGACCCCUAGCGGACACAGCAGCUGACCAGGCAAUUCAAAACAGACCUCGCUAAUAAGCAUACUUGGCUGCGGAGAGGUUAAUUGAUUAUUGCUCAGCACGACGUUGUAGCUACGCACUUCUGCUGCUGCCCCCAGUACGAGUCAUCAAGGUGCUCUGAUGUAAAGGAAAUACACAUGCGAGAUUGAGUCUGCACCUACAUGCAUCAUUUCAUGAAUAACACACAAACAUUUCAUAUCCCACCUCGUCAUCAGCUCAUCACAUAUAUGCAUGUACGUGCAUCACCAGCCAGCAUGCACCCGCCAACCUACCUGCGAUCCGAACACCAGGAGGUUUUUAUCCGGCCCCCCCCUAGCUACUUGGGUGACCACGAGCCGCUCAAUACCAACGGCAUCCAAGAACUUCACCAGCAUGGCAGGCCUCUUCCACGCCAGCUCAUUCCAUGCCUGCAUAUGGAUAUUGUAAGACCAGACAAAGAGUACUCGUGGGAGAUGCCAAGGGGAGCUGAUCCCUUCUUACACAUAUGCACGUCGGCGUGCGAUGCAUGGCGUGUGAUGAGGUGUGGGUCUAUGUAUGGGGUCCAGGUAGGUACCAUGCCACUAUUUCCCUAGAUACAUUGUAAUGUGGUAGCGAGUAAUGGGCGACAGGUGCCCCUUGCUAUAGCGAACAGCCUUUAAGGCUCGCGAGCACUCCGGGGUCACACCUGUCUGUCCGUCCAUCUGUCCGUCGUUUUAUCAUUAGCUGACAAGCAAUUGCUUGCAGCAAGCAUAGUCAUCAUGAACUCAUUGAUCCAGUAAUCUGUACAUGUUUACACUGAGCACCAGGCAUCCAUGCCGUCAAAUUGUUCUCACUUUAGCCACAUACAUACAUCGCGAAAUGUGUGGGUCCUCGUAGCACUGGAUGAAUGGAUGGAUGGGUGGAUCAGUGGGUCCGUUAUGUGCCCACCCGCCUUUCAGCAGGGAUGGACUGACUUACUGGUCGUAGGUGCGUGUCGUCAUAAACAUUGCGAUAACCUCAACUGGCAUCAUCCACGCAUGCAGUAUGAAUAAUGAAAUGUUAAUAUUACAUGCGUUAACUUUCCAAAAAUGGAAAUACCGGACCUAACAUCAUCACACCCAUACCUUCAUCACUGCCAGCCGAAGUGGUGCAGCCCUCGACACCUCGUUGGCCAGCAGCAGCUCCACAGCGUCCCAGUACCCAUUCGCCACCGCCAUGUCCAGCGGUGUGAGCCCGUAGCGGUUGGCAGGCAGAGGGGCCGAGUUGAUGACCCCCUCACCCUUUUCCAACAGGACCUUCAGGAGGCCUGCACCAUUUUUUCCUUCCGCCGCACUUCCAGCAGAGCCAGCAAAACGAAAUAGCAGUAUUAAGAAAGGCAACCGCAGUGUAAGCACACGCAGUGGCAGUCACAGCACCAGAUGCAGUGAUGAGUGACGCAAUACCACCGGCGGUGGUGGUGCAAUCAUGAGUUCAAUGUACUACCUUACGACUACUAGGGUUCUUGGGUAUGCCUCUGGAUGAUGUGUCCUAGAUGAUGCCAGUCAGUAGUGCGACCAUCUCGGAAGUCCUUUCCAGGCUGCGGUACGUACGGUCACACAUCCCGCAAAACCGAGAACGAAAAGCAUGUGAAAUCAAGAGUGCCCAGCGUAUGAAAGGAUACCGGAUGAAGCAAAAUUAAGUCGUGUAAGUAGCUAAACGAGUAAAGGCAUGAAGUCUGAGAUCCUGUACUCACUUUGGAAGGAUGGACGUGAAACCCCUGACCUUGUAAACGGCUCUCAACAUGCUGGCAGAGCGCUUCAGCACCACCUAAUUAUAGACGGGAUGUGUACCAUAAUGUGCCACAUCUAGUACCACAGCUCAGCUCGCGCGUGUGUGUGGGUGCAUUUGUACACCGUUCCAACUGUUGCUCCUAACUACUUUCUUGCUGUCCUACUUGGCGUCGCAGGUUCAGUACCAGUAGGCAAAAAGGAUUCGACGGCAGCACGUCAAUACCCCGGCCCAUGCAAUAAGCAUAUACCCAGCAGGUCAACAAGGCCAACAGAAUCUAGCUGCAGGUACAUCAUGUCAAUAAACCCACGCACACAGGCCAUCCAACUUGUCCCCUCACAUGUGCAGGAACGUGUGAUGACGAAACAGAUCAGGCACCACCGCGAGGCCGGGGAAGGUUUCAAUCAACGAGGAUAAGCGGUCCAGGCUCCGCUGAUUUGACUCAUCAACUAGCUGCAGCAGUGCAUUGGAACACACAUAUAGACAUACGUAUAUGUAUACAUACAUGAUUCCAUGGUAAUGCACGAAGAAUACAUAGACUGUCGUGAGGUAUUCAUGCACGCAUGUAUCUUCGUUGUUUGGGUAGCUAUAUAAUCAGCCAGAUCACCGGGCAGGCAGGCAGCAGGCAGGUGUGUGUGAAGGUCAUCAGCUACUAGUACUUCUGGCUGGAAUGCCGGCCACGCUCUGAUCCGCUUGAAUAAAGUACUAAGAGCAGCAACAACAAACCAGCAAACAGCAGUACAUACAAAGAAGGAAACCAGUUUAGUACGAUCUGGGGUUGGAGGCACCUCCACAUGCUAGCCGUCGUACCUGCUCCAGUGGCAGUUGUCGUGCCGAGAGAUCCAGUGAAGUCACACUCCCCCUAGAUGAGAAGGUCAGAACUAUUGGAGAACUACUGGGGCUGCCGUCAAACGCGGCGGGCAACAUCAGGGGCCGCAUCCUGACCAAUUCCUCAUCAAAGUAGAACAGCCAACGUAAGCCGACAUACCAUGGUACUUUCAUGCCAUCCUGUAUGUAGGUGGAACAAGCGGGGGCAUGUGGACGCAAGAAAUGAAGGUGGCUGACUUAGUGUGCUUGGCUGUGAGCGGCGGCGGAUUGCUUGACUAGGGAGGAGGAUAGCUGUGUUGAACAACUGCUCUAUUCGUAUUGAAGAAUAAGGAAGCGGUGAGUGCAAAUCACAUAGCAGUAGAAAGGUAAGAUACGAUAGUUACUUUCGUCGCGUGCAUGUGUGAGCGCUCGCUAGCGGGGUUCGGUCGCAAGGUUGUGUAUAGCUUCAAGUUAGCAUCGGUUGCUAGCUAGGCGGAAAUGGGCGGACAUAGUAGCUGCCCUACAGUACAACACACAGCCCGUCUAUAAACAUGUGCUAAAGCGCUCUGUCAGCAUCUACCUUGAGAGGCCUUUCCUACAUACCACAUCGGAUAAUUUAAAUCGGCGAGGGAGACCACCGGGUACCAAGAACGUGGAUGAGUGGAUGUGCAUGGAUGACCGAUCCCCUCACACCUUGAGGAUGCAUGCACCAUUAGCUCGGCAGAUGGGAUGGACGGUGCAGCCCGAAUGCUUAUAUCCCGCCUAUUUAAUUACCAUCACCCUAAAUACUGUCUAGGUAGAUGAACAAUAACAGCUAGGAUCAACGCAAUUAAAUAGUCCUAAGUGGUGGUUGGUAGUCCUAAGUGCAAAUUGGUAGUUCGAAGUACAAAUAUAAACUUCUUUGAAGGACAUGUGCAGGUGCCCAAGUUCAUCACCUUGAUAUUGAUGCCCAUAGCAUCACCGUGCGUGCUACAAGUCAGAAGCCAUGCGGGAUGCUGGAACAAGAUGCAUGACGGUGCGCUGUAGGGAUCAGCAAUCAUGUGCAGCACGACUCCCGUCGCCACGUCCCAGAUGCGCACGGUUUUGUCGUACGAGCCAGUCGCCAGGGUGUCUUCAUCCGGUGACAGUGCUGCGAGAUGCACCACAUCUUGAUGUCCCACGAAUCGCUGUGUUGUCUCGCCUGUAUGAUUGUGUGACACGGGGGGGGGUUAUAGCUUCACCCGGGGCCACUACCUGGCAGUUCCUGCCUUCCACGAUAUUUCCCACCUCAUCCUUCUCAACCAUGCCGGCUUCUACGACGUCGGUGACUUUUCGGGUUCAGCACCCACCACCAGCAUCAGUGGAAUCUGCCGAACCAACGGAACGUCAACUCCACUUCUAGUCGGCUCACAGAUCACUAGAACCGGGUCCAUCACCGUCCAUCGGCAUGUGGGUGCAUCCUCCAGCUUACGGUUGAGGGACGUUUUAUUCCACUUUGCCGGGGUCGAUCCUGGAACCUUCCAGGGACACUUAUGCCGCGCCUUAGCAUGUUUGCUGUGUCUGAAGCCCUAUAGCCCGUAUGUAUGUGCGAGUGCGUGGUGGGCGCGCCAGCAGGCAGACAUGCAGCAGGCACACCUACAUACCCGGCCGGCCAUCAAACAGAACGAAACCCUAAAGCCAUAAAAGGUACACCAAAAGAAUGUCACCACGUGCUUCACGAUACUUGUUACCACCAUGUCAGAAAUACUAAGGUGAUUGCAACUGUAAUCCUAACGGAAUUUCACAGGAAAGAUAAGGAAAGCCCAUCACCUGUUGAGAGGUUGGUGAUUGCAGCGGUUUUAUCAACUGAGCCUGUUAAGCAGCUCUCCCCGUCACUUGUGAACCGGGCACAACAGAUGCCCUUUGUGUGGAUGCGAUUGUAUCUACGCUUCUCCUUGCCAGUAUUGAGGUCCCACAGAAUUAAGCACGAAUCCUCCUCGUGGUUUGUAGUGAGCAUCUUGUCGAAGUCCUUGUUGACCUGGAGACGCACUCGCCUAGUUGUGGGAACACUGUCUGUAUUAACCACCUACAGGCGGGGGGGGCAAGAGGGAGUGCAGGUCGGGAGGGCAAGAGUUGCUUACCAUACGAUAGUCCCAUGCGGAGUUUUGUACCUUCCGUAGCUCAGGAACCAGGAAUGGCAAAUAUCCAAACAGCCCUGCACCCUUCAAAACGCAUUACGUGCUGCAUAGCCAGCUACCGACACCUCAACCCCAAGAUAGCUACCCGCCCCACCAUCCAUUAAUUAUCCUCCCUCCUGCCUGCCCGAACCCAGUCAUCAUGUCUGCCCCCAAUAAAGCCAGGAUCAAUCCACAGCCCCUGCUCCCUAAAAGAGCAGGCAGCACUGAGUCCAGCAAAUAGUUGCUAUCAACCAUGCCAUGCAUAUGCCAUGCCCGUCCUUCCCAGCCACUUCCCUGCCAGCAUUUAUGCAUGAUAACACACACAGACACACACACAUACAUACCAGCAAAAGUUUCUUGGAUUCAAGACUGUACAGCCGGACCUUCCUGUCUGCACCAGAAGUGACCAUCUUCCCGCGCAUUUGAAGAGUUGUCCUCCCGCCAUCAUCCCCAGACACGGACCCCGCAUCGUCGCUGGCCACAAGGUACUCCCCGUAAGCGCGGUCGUCCUUGUUUGCAAAGGGGUUCACCAGCUGCAUGAACUCGUAAUCGACAUGAAGCCUCCAAAGCUGCUCGCCCGUUGUGAGGUGGUAAACGCAUAGCUCCUCUGCAGAGGUAUGUAGAUGUUGGUAUGUGUGGCCAGCAAGCAGGGAAAGCAGGAAAAGCAUGCGAGGCAACCUGCUGCUGGAUGGAUUGGCAUUUCUCCGCUGGGUCGUCAAUCCCUUCCUUGGGUUUUGAUACGGCGCUUGGUUACACCAAGUCAUACUACAUUCCUUAAUACUGGAUCGGCCCAGGCGUUAGGUAGGUUUCUACAGGUUUAGUUAAAACGUUUCUUCUGCCGGUUUACCCUGAUGAUGCUACUUGUCAUCACAUAUUGGGCCCACAACAAAGGGGCAAACUGCUGAUGGCAGGACCCUGAGACCUAGCAAUUAUGCUGAGCAGUAUGGUUGCCACGGUUAGUAAUGCACGUACAGCAGCUCCUUUUACGUCUACUACUACUGGCAACGUGUAUGGCCAAAAAGACAUUGGUUGACGGUUGGUCGUUAAUGUCAAUCACAGCCACUUGUCAUCAUCAGACUGACAGCAGAAGGGAGAAAUGUUCAGUCAGACAACAACUAACCACGGCAACAGCAACAUGAAUGCCCCACCUCGAAAACGGCCUUCUCCUCCAGCCUCUCUAUAAAUGUUCAUGACGAGCAAAAGUGUCCUGUCGCGUGACACGUCAGCAUCGUAUACAUUUUGCAGCCGCCUGUCCCACCACAGCACCUUGUCAUAGCUCUCGCCCUGCAAGUCAGACACCCUGAUGCUGCCGUCUGAGCAUACCGCUCCAAAACGUGUUGGAUAGAGAGGAGUUUCCUGUCCUGUCCGCUCAUCGUCCAUAUGAUCAUGAGUUUCCCGUCCUGUCGGCUCAUCGUUUUCCUCCUCAUUUUCCUGCAGGCCGUCGAUCCUAUAAUAGCGCUUCUUAAACUCUCUGAAAUUUUGGGCUGAGCUCAGGAAGAAGCAGCCCGAUGUGGCGUUGCACAGAGGGUCAGGCUCCUGCAACGCAGGAUGGACCUGCCAAACGCACGAAAUGCAAUCAAGGACACAGGACAAGCUCAAAAAAGCGGGAGGAUUUUGUCUAAGCUGGGCAACAAUCUCUAGUCCAGCCUGGCAGGAGGUACAAUUACUAGGUUAAACAAACUCGGCGCCGUAGCUUAAUUGGUAAAGCACCACCUUAACCGGUGGGAGAUGUGGGUUCAAAUCCCACCGGCGUCACCAUGGGUUGUGAGACUUGUUCGCUGAUAAUGUAUCAGCCUCUGAGGCUCUCCUCAAGGUAACCCGUGGUGUAUAUCACAUACAAGUCAUCACGACAAGUCCGUCACCAGAAGGCUAGGCGCCGAGGAGGAGGAGGAAUGGAUGCACAAGGUCAAUGGAGCUACCCAAGCAAAAGUACCUAUCAAAAAGCUGCUGUAGCAUGGCUAGGCCGAACCUCGCACGAGCCUUAGAUGGUGACCUAUACGAGGGGUGCGGAAUCCCCCAGCGGGUGAAGCGGGUCGUAGGGGGUUAACUACCCUCCGCCAGGACAAAGCGCAGGGUGCUGUGUAGAGUGCAGUAGUGUAAGGGUAGGGAGGCGGUGCGACAUGCACGUGGCCUGAAGUUGUAACAGGAGCACCAGACUCCGGCAGGUUGCGAUAACUGGUCGUGUCCCACAGCGACAGUGUGGCGUCCUCACCAACGAUAGGUGGAAAAGGGCCCGUAGAGGUGACGCGGUGGGAAUAUAGCAUAUAGGACUGACUAGGUGCAGACCUCAGAGCGUUCCCCCCUUAACACAC
rnacentral:lncRNA from 1 species